AGACUGAAAGAAGGUUGGCAAUAGGACCCACAAAACACACUGUCAGAAAAUCUUCAGAGUUUCAGAGAAGAAGAAGAAGAAAGAAAAAGAAGAAUCAAACAGUAGUAAAUCCCAGGAAUAUUAUAUUUUCUUACCAAAUCAAAAAACCUAUCUCUUCUUAUUCUUGUCUCUUCCAUUUCCAGAGAAUAUAGAUCCUAAACCAAACAUAUUCCCAGAAGGGACCAUGUUUAUAACCGGACUCACUCUAAUCCCUCCUCCAUGGCUUCCAUAACUGUAACCUCCGUAAUUUUUCUUCAAUGGCGGUUUCUGAAAGCUACUGUUACUCGAUGUAGAAGAAGAAGAUGAUGAUGAUGAUAAAGACGACGAUUGUUGUAGCUUUAUAUGCUCUGUUGUGUGUUUCCUCGAGCUCUGUUUCGGUUUACUCGACGUAGAACCGGUCGAAUUACUCCGGUUUAGUAACGGUAACGGACAUAGACUCCGUCCGUAACUACUUCCACAGUUUAAACUGCUGCUUCUCUUAAACCCCCAAAACGACUUCGUAUUGGGUUUCUCCUCCGUUACGGAGACGUCAUCGUCUUCUUCAACCGGUUUCCUCUGUUUCCUAAAAUCCGGUUUAGUCGGUUCGGUUGGACCGGUAUCGGGACCUUUCUGACCCGGAUUGCGUUUCUCGGGCGGUGGCGAUUCGGGUUUCUUCUUCUUCUUGAUUUCUGUUGGCAAGAUUUGUCCGUUACGGAAGAGUUCGUCGGCGGACCAAGAGCCUUGGUCGAAGCUUUCGGCGGAGUUUACGCCGCCGGGAAUGCAGAAAUCGAAAUCGAUGCUUGAAUUGAGACUGGACGGUUUCGAAUUCGACGAUCGUAAGGGACGUUUCUCGAUCGGAAUUGCAUCGGAUUGACAAAAGUCACGAGAAAAUGAGAUUCUUGGACUCAUAUUAGAAUUUUCCGAUAGAAGAUCCACCGCCAUUAUAGCAAAACGAACAAUUUCCGAAUUCUGAGAGAAAAGGAAGAGACUUUCUUGAAUAUUGAUAGAAAGAUAGAGAGACGUGGAGAGAUAUUUGGGGAAGAAGGUGAAGGUGGAACGAUAGGAAGGGUUAGAAUUUAAUUUAUAUUUUUUACAAGUGAAUUAAAUUUAAAUAAGUGUUUUGAUUUUGAUUUAAUAAAAUGGAAAAUAAAUAAAAAGAAUUUUCGGGUGAAAGAAAUUGAAAAAGUGAAAGGGAAGGAAUAAAUAAAGAAAUGCUAAUAGAAGAGGGGACAGAGAAGCGUGUCUCUUGCUACAUAUUCACAUGCAUGGGCCAAAAAAGGAUAUAUGUUGGUUCUUCACUUUGUACAAUUUUAUUUUCUAUGGUAUAAUUUUAUUUGAUGUAUAUCUUUUGAAAAUUCUUUUAAGAGAGGCUAUUUGGAUCAUUGAUCUGGGAAGAUAUGGAAUUUUUUAUAAAAUCCACUCUUAUUGGAUGUCCAAUAUUUCAAAAAGAUAAUGCAUUUCGGAAAUCUCUUCAUGUUAUAGGAUAUACCAUGUCAAAUUAUUUUACAAUAAUAUACAAUCUACCAUUAUUAUUUUGAAAGUUUAUAAACUAACAAAAAAAAAUCUAGGGUUAUUGAAUCAUUUCUAACUGUAAAUAAAGAGUCUGAAAUUUUUCAAAGAUUUGAAUAUAUGUACUUAUAGUUAUAUACUCAACCCCUUGAAAAUCUCUAGAAAAACUGACUUUUUUGGAGAUUUUUAGAAAUAAUAUUUCAAAUUUAUCAUUUUUUGUUGACUGAAUUAGGUUUACUGGGUACUAUAGAUGGGAGAUAUAGGUUUUUCCGACUCUGAUACAAUGAAAUAUAUUUUGAGACUAAAUUUUCUUUGAGUAUAUAUAGCUUCAAAAUAAGAAUGAUCAACUGAAGAUACCUUGAACAAAUGAAUGAAAAAAUGUAGUAUGUAUUUAUUUUUUAUGAUUCUCGAUGUUAACAAUGAUUUUGCUAAGUCUUUUGCGUAUGGGGAAGAUGCUUCUUUCAUCGAUCCUUCUGCUUUUAUAGCAUUCCAAAACUAAUUUCUCCGGUCAUUACAAGAAUUAAAUUCGUAUUAAUUCUUUCGAUUUAACCGUUCCCCUUUUUUAUUCUUCGGGCUUUGAACAAUUCUUGCUUUGCGAGGUAAUCAUCUUCUUUGUUUCUUUUGGUAUUUUUUUUUUUUAUUAGUCCACUGAAUUUGGAUGAUUUACUUUAAUUUAUUUGUGUAUUGUUCUCUCUAGGCUGUCAUGGAUCAGGUUCAUAGUGAAAUCCAACACUAAAAACAACGAUAUGAUCGAAAUUUUGAGAGCAGGUAGAAGAAUCUCUAAUAAUUUCAAAUAUAAAAUAAUCCACCAAAACUUUAACCUGGUUUGUAGCAAAUAAGUUUAGAGUGAGAUUAAUUCUCUAAUUGUGUGAGUUCACCACAGCCAAAAAAAACAAAAAAAAGAGCUACAUCCCCGUUAUGAACUUUUUUUCCUUCAGCAAAGGGGAAUCAAAUAAAAACGACUAACUUUUACAAAAAGAAAAAUACGGUUAAUACAAACACUACAAGAAAACAUUACAUAUUCCUACCAGAUAUUUCAUCAGAAAAUCGUAGGAAACCGGCUUUUCCUAUCAAUUUCCUACCAAAUAUUUUUGUAGGUUCUAUGCCGUCAGAAAUUUUCAAAGGUAGAAAAAUCGUAGGAAAUUUCCUACGAAAAUUUUGGUAGAAAAAUUUUGGCGGUAGGAUAUUCGUAAGGAAAAUACCUACCAAAUUACUUCCAUCUUUCUACGAAAUAUUCCUAUCAUUUUCCUACCACUUGAGAUUUUGUAAAAAAUAAAAUUAAUUUUAUAAAUUAAAAAAAUUAAAUUAAUUUCAGAAAUUAAAUUUAAACUAAAAGAUGAAUUAACUAUUAAUUCGAUUAUUAAUAUAUAUAUAUAUAUAUAAACAAAUUAAUUAAAAGAGAGAUGAAAAUCUUAUUUAUAGAAUAGCUUCAUCAUCCAAAUUGUCUCAGAUCAUCGAUGUGGGACAAAACCAAAGUUGAAAUGUUCCUACAAAAUUCCUACGAUUUUUUUACACAUAAUAUUUCGUCAGAAAUUAGUAGGAAAUUUCCUACGAAAUACUUACUAGUAUAAUGGUCAAUUGUAUCCUAUUACUUUCCUUUCAAAUUUUGACCGCGUGGUAAAUUAUUGGUAGAAAAUAUCCUACGAAAUUUCGACAUAAUUUUUGGUAGGAAAAUCCCUACCAAUUUCUUAUCACUUUUACUUUUUGUCAAAAUUACGUAGAAAAUUGGUUAUAAAAAUUUCUUACCAAAAAUUUCGUCAAAAUUUUCAUAGGAAUAUGAGAUGUUUUCUUGUAGUGAAACAAUUUAGCAGUACAAAUACUUGAAAUCUACAUAAACUUAGUCGGAUGUUAAAAACAAACAAGAAAAAUUUUUUAUGUAUAAUAUCUCAUACAAAAUACACUGCAUUUUUCUGAAAUGUCCUUCCAAAAUUGCACAUCGGUUUUUGAGUAAUUGGAGGAAAUAACAACAUGUUACUUACAUAAAAAAAUGUUUAGUUUUUGUCAUUUGACAAACUCGCUCUUGGUUUUUUUUAGCUCACAAAAAGAAAAUCAAAAGUUACAGAAAAUAUUUAGAUCGUAUCAAAACCCAAUCAAACCCAAAGUCAAUAAAAGUAAUCUAAAUCCAAUGAUAAGUCAAAAAACAUAUGUGCAAUGUUUGAAAUGUUUAGAGAGUCAACGUUGGGAUUCGUGUUGACUAAUGUGAUGAAGCAUUGAACAUAGACCAAUGGUGCCAAGUCACCGACCCGAGACUUUAACCAUACUAAAGUUUCGUCACGAACUCUAUCAAGUUAAAGAAGUGCAUUCACAUAUUUUAAACCAAAUCAAUGAUGCUUUUACUAUGGUGUACUAGGAAAUGCUACAUUUUAAAGUAUUCCUGAUGAACAAAUUUCAAACGAACACAUGUCUCGCUUCUACAUAUCCUUAUAUGUUGCUUGCGAUAACUAUAACCAAGUAAAAACAAAUAUAUUAGGUAAUCAGGUAUUCUAAAUGCUAGAAAGAUUAGUUGAAAUUUUAGCAAAAAAUGGUUAGAUGAUAGUAUAAUUCUUAUAAAGUAUAAGAAUAAUAAAAAGAAAAAACACGGUGGCAUUGUUGAUACUCCCCAAUCAAUACGAGCAGACACAUAUCAUAUAUAUAUCAAAAUUCAAGAAUAUAUAAGAUUUUAGGUUAGACCAUAACACAUAUGCGUUGUUAUCCACUUUUGUAAGUUGAAUAUGAAAUAUUUAUCUGGUAUCCUUUUACAAAAAAGAUUAAAAAAAAAAUGAAAUUCAUGUAUCUGAUCUAAGAUUUCGUUAUGUUUUUUUUUUUUCAUUGUCACGAUUGUAUCUUCAUUCCUUUUAAAUUUAGUGUCUACUUAGUUCCGUUGUAUACUUCUUAUACAUACCACUUGUAAAGCAGUGACAAAACCCUAAUUUCUAGUACUUAUAGUCGAAAGUAUACUUUUUCUUUUAAAACCAAAAAUUUCUGAGUCUAGACCCAUAAUAUUUUUGCCGGGAAUUAGACCAAGUUAAUUUAGUCUCUUUCCCACCGUCAAUUCUUUGAACCCAAAAAAAUGGGUUAGUUACCGAAGGCGGAUUAUAUUCAACAAUUAAUUCAAAUAUAGCUUCCUAUUUCAAGGAAAGAAAUAUUACUCAAAUAAAAUGAACUUCUGUGUAUUCUAACUAGAUGGGUCUUUAGUGAUAGAGAAGUCCAAACUCCUUCAUUUUAAUGAAUCAGACGAAUCAUAAGAGUUUGCUUUUAUAAAAAAAAAAAGAGCUUGCUUUUCAUCAAAAUAAAAAUCGAUUUUUGCUUAAAGUGAAAGUAAAGAAAUUGUUUGUGUGAUAGAAAGAAAAGAGAAAAGGAGAUUUCAUAUUAUCUAGAGAAUGAUAAGGAAAUUACAAAACAAUAUACACUUGUGAAUUAUAUAUGAAAACAGAAAAACAAAGUAAGCAUGGGCAUGGGUCCGAUGGCUACGUACUUACCGAAAACGAAGAAAGCCACUUAGAGAAACUGAAGGGUUGAUAAAUGGUCCACGUUUUCCCCUAAAUCCUUUCUUUUCAUAACCAUUGGGUCGCCCAUGAGCCCACCUAAAACCAACCCGACCCGAUUAGAUCCAACCAAGAAUUGUCUACUCUUCUUGAUCACUUUGCCUAUUUUGGCUGCUCUCGGUAAUAUUAACAAGAAGUUGUCCAAUUCGGUUAGGGUUUGGUUAUGAUGACAGAGAGUAAAAGAUGGUCCUGUCCGACAAAUAGCAUUGGUGCUGUUUUGCUAACAAGUACCGAACUGCUUUGUUCAGACCAAAAACAAAAAAUAAUCAAUCUGCUUUGUUCUCUACAGAAAUUGAUUAUAAAAGCUGAAAUGGUAAAAAAAAAAAAGUUGUUUCCCUUAAGUCAUGAAAAGAAGAAAUAUUGUUUUUGGUUCCGUUUGAUUUAUCAAUCAAUAUGGCCUGAAUCAAUAUGACCACUGAGAUAAUCAUCCAAAUCCAGAGAUAUGCAUGGUCGUCGCCCUCGUAUUAGAGAGGGUUGUGUGCAUGCUCAUAGGCUUACUUACAGUCCAAUUGACCUCACCAAAGUGAUAGAUUCCUUUCCCAAAAUCUUUUUGUGAAUAUGAAUAACAUAUUUCUUGAUGAUUUUUUUAUAGAUGCAACAGUAAAAAAUCUGUCGGAGGAUCUCUCGCCUACAUUUUAGUUUGCAUAAAAAAUGUGAAGUUUGGUUUACAUUUAAUGUAUACGAUUAUGGAUGUGGAUCUAUCGAUCUGUGUAUGUCAUUUUGAUGAUUCUUGGACGAGUGACGGUGCAACUAGUGGUUCUUGAUGGAUUAAUGGCACAUCCAGUUUAUUGGGUGAAAUCUCAACACCUUCAUCUUUAAACUCCAUAAAUGAUUUGGACAAUGAAAUGUCAACAACAUAAUCACGAUUUAUUUAUAUUUUGUGAAGGUUUUUAUAUGAUGACUUCUGCACCAAAGUUACAUGAAUUAGCCAUGAUUAUUAAGUUUUUAUCUAAAAGUUACAUGAAUUAGCCAUGAUUAUUAAGUUUUUAUCUAAAAGUUACAUGAAUUAGCCAUGAUUAUUAAGCUUUUAUCUAAAAGUUACAUGAAUUAGCCAUGAUUAUUAAGCUUUUAUCUAAAAGUUACAUGAAUUAGCCAGGAUUAUAAGUUUUUAUCUAAAAAUGAGUUAAUUCGUCAAUUACAUAUACAAACAACGUUUAGGCAGAUUUCGUUGCUUCAAUAAUUAAAACGUUUAAAUUCUAUUUCGUUGCUUCAAUAAUUUAAAACGUUUAUUCUCUUUAGUAACUUUAGUUGUGAUGCAUCGAACUUUGUUUGUAUAAUAAAGUUGCAUAUGCUUGUUGACACAAUAUUCUCAGUUUUCUAGCAUUGAUAAGCAUUUGUAGACGAUCAAAGAACCAUGUAGGAUACAAAUUAGUUGUCAAUAAUCUAAAAUACAAGUUAUAAUGACUUUGUACCUUACAAUCUUACACCACUUAUACAUUACAAUUCUGUUGGUCCAAACCACCUAAGAAAGAAAAAAAGAAAAGAUGAAGAUCGUUAUACCAAACAAAAAAAAACCCGCCAAUUUUCUAAAUUAACCCUUUUUAUUAGUAAAGUUUUCUAAAAAUCAACUUUUUUUUUGUCAACAACUAAAACCAAUCUUAGUCAAAUUUUUGAGUUAUCCAAAAGAAGUCGACAUUUUCGUUAGUUCCAAAAUAGCUCAAACUUUAGAGUUAUCUAAUUUUUUUGAUGAUACUACGUAACAAGUUUAACAUUCAAAAAUUACUCUAAUCGAAACAAACUUGAAAGAAAAAAACUGCUGUGGAAAUAAAUAAUACGCGUUAUCUUGAAAAAAAUAGGAAAACUAAACGCGCGAUUUGGUCAAUGUGGUCGUGGAUGGGUCACCUAAUCUUUUUAAUUUCCCUCUAAAAAAAGAAGAAAUAAAUUUUCUCCCAAUUUCCUCGAAGAAGAACAUUAGAAAAUAAAAUGUCAGGAACUGAAAAAAACUACGAAACCAAUCAGAUUCGGCCAUUUCUUUCCCUCUUUUCUUUUUUCUCCCAAUCACUCUUCAGAUUCCGAAAAAAAAAGCAAACAAAGAAAGAAAAAAUAGAUUCUUUAUCACCGGAGUUUUCACCGGACUCUUAAAAGAUGAAUACGCCGAACUGGGAACUCCGGAGUUGCUGUAACCGAAACCAGAACACGUUCCUCAUCACCAUCGGAAUCUUCACCGUCGUUAUCCUUGUGGUUAGUUUUUCCCAUCUAAUGUCCUUGAGAGAAAGAGUUUAAAGUUUUGACCUUUACUUGUUUUCUUCGAUUCAAAUUGAAGAUCCGACAAAUUUUUUUGUAAAAGUUAGUUUAAAGGGUAUCUCGAUUGUAGUGUUUUAUGCAACUGUUGACUUAUAAUUUCAUUCAAAGUUUGUGACUUUUGGCAUCAUAAAGUUUCUAUAUUUGUUCUUGUUUCUUAAGAUCUUCACAGAGAUUUCUUGGUUUUGUUUUUAACAGCUAUGGAGGACAUUUCUAUUGACUCCAUUUAAACUAAUCACGGUGUUUUUGCACGAAGCGAGUCAUGCUGUUGCUUGCAAGCUCACAUGUGGAGAUGUAAGGAAGCUCUCUCACUUCAACUACUACUUCAAUGAAACUAAAAAAGGUUACAAAACUGAUUUUAGGUGUAAACCCUUAAUUCAGUUUGUAAACUUGAAUUGUCCUUUUGAUUUGUUAAAUUAUACUGGUUGAUUUGUGAUCCACUUUGCGAGCAUAACAUCUCUUUAGAUAUGCACAUUUACCAGUCGAAAGGUUUGCUUUAGCAUUGAUGUCUCUGCAUUUUCUCUGGACAUGACUGUUUAGCAUAGAGUGGAUUUUAGCAUCUUGAUUCAGUUUGCAAACAUAAACCGUCUGCUUCGAUAUGGAAAAAUACACUUGGAACUCAGACUAAUUUUAGGUUCCUUGAAAGUUUAAAUGCGGUCGGGGUUCGCUUUGAAUAGGCAGAGAAGAUGUUUUUGUUAUCAUCCACUACUCGCAUGGCUUUCUUUAGCAACAAUACCUUGUGUAGAUUGCUUUAGCAAUGUUUGUCUUUGGAUAUGGCUGUUUAGCACGAUCGUAAAGUUGGCAUCUUGAUGUCGAGUUACGAUAUCCUUAUUUAUUGUGCCAUUCGCUAUAUUCCUCAUUUGGUAAACAUUGUUUUAUCCUCACUUGUAUAUGAUUCUCGCUCUAUUGCUAAUAUGUAAACUACUAAUAUACGAAUAUACGUCAUUAGUCUAAGAAGCCAAGACACACAGUUAGCUCAAACCUUAGCUUUAGGUCGACCGUAGCGUAGGACUAAAUGUUAACAGAUUAUAGCUGGCUGCUGGUCUGAGUUUGUGAGAAAGCAGUUAGUGAAAGCGAAAUCUGUAAAGAUGUCUCUGCAGAUUGUUAAGGCUGUAGAAUUUAUAGAAUUUGAUUGGGAUUCCGGAUGAAAGCCUUUUCAUUAAUAAGUUUCUCUAGUUGGUGAGUGUUAUAAGAAUAGCAGUGUACAGCUUAGCUCUUAUCAUAGUUCCAAUAAUGCAGAAAAGAUAGUAGAUAAGUUACACCGCUCAGCCCAAAAAAAAUCUUUGAUUAUGUAUUGAUUGCACAUUAUUUUCAUCAAAUGCGUGCAACAUUCUCUAUGUUAAUCUGCAACUUCAUUUUUUCAGUUUGCACUUUGCACAGUCGCAUAUAAUAUGGAUAUUGUGUGCCUAAAAACAAAUGUGGCUAAUUUUUGUUUGAACUUAAUCUUCUUCGUAUUGAAUCAAAAAGGUGGAGGGGAUGGAGGUGAAUGCAAAUGAAGGAGGUUCCACAACAACACGUGGCGGCAUCUAUUGGCUGAUCUUACCUGCUGGCUGUAAUAUACAAUCUGUCUAUCUCCCUUAAACAAAUCAACCAUUUUCAAAUUUGGACCUUCCAUUGUUGAUGGCUAAAAGUGUUACAUAUAUAUUUGUUGUAAUGGUUAUAGAUCUUGGCUCAUCAUUUUGGGGAAUGGCUUUGAUUCUUGCAUCUACUAAUCUGCUUACAGCAAGAAUAGCUGCUGCUGGUCUCGGUCUUGCUUUAUUCAUCGUCCUCUUCAUUGCCAAAAACGUAAGUAGAAUUCAUUUUUAUCUCAUUGAGGCAUUGACAUCAAACCAAUGACAUCCAAAUUUUCAACCUUGACAGUGGACGCUUCGAGGUCUUUGUAUAGGUGUGCUAUCUCACGGUUCUUCUUGUUAAAUUUUUCAUUUUUUAGUUCUCAAAAUGAUAGUUGACAAAAAGAUUCUAACAAUCAGUGAAAAAGUCUCUCAGGUUUCAUAGUUUUCCUCGCUAUCAUAUGGGUUCUACAAGAGUUAACUACAGUAAAAAUUCUCCGUUAUGUCAUUCUGUUCAUCGGUAAAUGAACCUCAUUUUGUUCAGUCUUGUUAACAUGUUUGAGUUUCAUCUUCUCCGUAUGAAAGCCAGAUUCUUGAUAUUGCAGGUGUGAUGAAUAGCUUAUUCUCAGUUUACGGUAUGUGUUUCCUUUUCUCUCCCAAUAACUUCACUUAAAGUUAUGAACUUAUGAACAAGAAAGAAGCCUCAUUUGGUUUUGUUCUGCAAUGGCUAUUAGAUAUCUACGAUGAUCUGAUAUCGCGAAGAGUCCAUUCAAGUGAUGCUGAGAAGUUUGCAGAGAUCUGUCCUUGCUGUACUGGUUGUGGCUGGGGUGUCAUAUGGUGAGACUUUAAUCCAAUUUUACACACAAAAAACAACAAAUCUUUGUUUUUUCUUUGUUUCUGACCAAAAAUGGUUUUGAUUUUUCAGGGGAAUGAUAUCUUUUGCGUUUCUUUGCGCAUCAUUGUAUCUUGGGCUAGUGAUCCUAUCAUAAAAAGGUGUUCUUUUGGUUUUGGCUUUCUUGUUUUUUGUUAAGCACAUUUUUGCUUUUGAAUUUUGAUUAAGCGUUUUCAUGAUUUUUGUGAAUUUUUGGUGUCUCUCAGGUUUCAAAUUCUUUCCAGUGAACUGCGGAGUCUCCUUUCUUUCAUCUAUGCGCAGUUUUUUAACAGAAAACAUUUUUUUGAUUAAAAAGCUUGAUUCUUUAGAUCCCUUUGAUGUAUUUACAUUUGAUUGAAAGUUUAGGGUUUAUCAUUUUUUUUUUAUUCAUUUUGGAGUUUGUGUUGAAUAGAAUUCAUUGAUUGUUCUGUUUUAAUGCAUUGUAAGUCCGUUGAUCUUGUCAUCAAAACAAAACUCCGUCGACUUAUUCCUGUAAAUGGUCAUAGUAUCCUCGAUUAGACUUCGUCCUUUCUUCCAAAUUGAUACUUAAACACCAAAAUCUAUUAUAUAAAGACUCAGCUGAGUCUCACAAACUUGACACAUCAGCUUUCGAAAAAAAUAAUUUUCUCAAUUCCAAAAAAAUCUAAUUUAUCAGCCAUGACACAAGUACAAAUCUAGUUUCUAUCUAGAAAAGUCAUUCUCUUACAAUAAAAAGGAAAUGCAUUGAAUUUAUAGUGUUAUUACUUUGUAAACGACACCCGAGAAAAUUGAACGAGGCUAAAAUAAAUUCAUUUUUAUAAAAUGGAGCGGCAUUCCACCUAUUUUUCAUUUUUCUCUUACGCGCUUAAAAAGCUCCAGAAAUCAGGUAUAGCGCAACUGCAGUCACGUUCAUAACCAACAUUAGAAAAGAAUUAAGGUCUUGAAAUAACAUAUCCAAAAUGCAUAUUUCUUGUGUUAAUUUUGUUUUAGUGAUUGUGGUUUUUAGUGUUUCAGAUCAGAAAGGCGAUCAAAUACAUGGAUAUAAUCACUCUACUCUACGUGUCUACGAGGAGGAAAUGAUAACCAAUCCUUCUCUCAUAGAAAGAGAGCUAGGAUCAAGCUGUAUGUAGUGUAAUUACACACUAUAUAUAUAUAUAUAUAUAUUCAUUCCUAUUUUAUGUAUAUAUAUAAGAAAAACUUUAUGUGCCAUUAAAAAAAUUAUUUCUUGUUUCCAUAUUAAUUUAGAGUUUUAUAUGAUGUUUUUUGUUGUUCGCAAAACAUUGAAAAAACCAUAAAUAGUUUGUUUAUUGCAUGCAUGAAAAAUUAUGAUAUCUUUGUAUGCGUAAUGCUCUGGUGCCUAACAAUAUUAUUAGGUUUAGAGCAGAUGAUAUAACAAACGAAGUUGAAGUUUUAGAGGCAUUUUGUCUUCUGUUCAAUUUCUGUUUAUAGUUUUCGUACAUCUUAUAUAUAUACAUAAAACUGACAUAUAGUGAAUGCUUAACUCAAUCUAAAAUCAGUUAUAAAAUUUUCUUACGUAGCGCCUUAUUUCUCUGUCACAUAGACAAAAUUCUUUGUGUAUCAGGAGAAUGUAAUGCCCAAAUUUUAUCAUAUUUACUUUAUUGACGUCCGAACUUUAUAUUUUUAUAACAAAAAAUGAAUAUUUAGAAAGAAAUUAUUGUUUUUAAUAUUUAUUACCCUAAGCAGAACUCAAAGGAUUUGAGAUGAGAUUUAAAGCUAAGCUGAAACAAACAAACGCAAUAUUUUGUAUUUUAUUGUGUGUCUUUGAGUGUACGUAUUUUGUUAAUUUUAUUUCAUUAGUAAAAAAAACAGAAAAUAUAUAAUAAACAGACAGAUAUAUGUCUUAUUUUAAAGAGAUAACAAUAGAAAGUGAUUUGCGAUUACGUAAUUCUAUCAUGAUCUAGAAAAUUUAAAUUCGCACAUAUAUAUGUAUAUAUAUUAUUGAUCAACUUAACUAUUAUAUAUAUAUAAAUUACCGCGUGUACACGCGAAGUUUUAUCUAGUUAUUGUAAUAGUUGUGUACAAAAUAUCAUGGUGUAGAAAAUAAUUGUUGUAGUUAAAAAUUCAAUAAAAAAAAUAAUCAAAUUCUAUUAUAUGGAGGAAAAAUUUCAUAUUUUGUACUCUUAUUAAAUUUCAUAAUAUUUAAAAGUAAAUUUCCAUUUUUCUUCAAAAUUACAGCGAAUAAAUCCUAACUUUUUUUGUUUGAUAGAUAAGCAAUCUUUUUUGUCUGAUGGUAUAAAGAGGUAUAUCGUUUGGAAUCUUCCGAGGUUCAUCUUGCAUUAUCUUGGUUCAUCUUCCAAUAUAUCUAUUGGUUUGUAGAUUAGGUUGAAGAAAAUGAGAAAAAUUUGUAGUAAAACCUUUCUUUGAAUAUUUCUGUUAUAACGAAUGCGAAAAAAUGAAGUUAUAAACAUAAGGAACACAACACAGAUUUAACGUGGUUUACCAACGAUGUGUUGGUUACUUCCACGAACAAAAAAACCUAUUUAUUAAGGGAGGCAAAAGGUUCAGAAAACUCUGAUGAAGGUUCUGAAUCAUAAUCGGAAUACAUCAGAAUCGGAAUACAUCAGAAUUAGGUAUCACAUAGGUAUUAUAACUACCUAGUUAACCCUAAUCAUUUUUGGACCUGUCGUUCACGCCUAUGUAACGUCCUUAAGCUGAUAGCUUCGACCCAUUACUCAAACCGACAAUCUGCAGUAAGCUUCGUAGCUUACACCUCAUCUGAAAACAACUCCGCAGCUUACACAAUCUGUAACCAACAUCUUCUACAGUUUGCUAUGUAGCUUGCACCUUCCAGAGGUCACACUUUCCGCAAGUCGCACCUUAUGGAAGUCGCACCUUACGCAAGUCGCACCUUACGCAAGUCGCACCUUACGCAAGUCGUACCUUCUGCAGGUACCUUCUGCAAGUUGCACAAUCUACAUUAUGCUCUGUAGGUCCGCACCUUCUGCAACUUGCACCUCUCACAGUCUCAGAUUUAAGGCACAUUAACAAAUCUCCACCUUGUCUUGAAUCGUCCAAACAGAUGUACCAGAUGCACUUUUACAGUGCCAGAUGUACCGAAUUUUUCAUUUGCCUCACACGUUUGAUAACACCUAAUUUUGACAUAUUUUCACCAUUGAUUUCAAAUGCUUUUUCAAAGGUUUUAAUCAGUUUUAGGAAUUUUUAUUAUGAUUUCCAUGUAUUUAUAGUUUCAAGACUUUUUUCAGGAAACUUAGGGAAAAUGAUGGCAAAAUGGAAGAAAUCCACUUUUUAAAGCUCAGAGUCAGACCGUCAGAAGUUCAGCCUCAAAUGAAGACUUUUUCAACGUCUGAUCUAGUUCAAAUUUGGAGACAAUCAAGAGGAGACAACCAGAUUUCCAUAGCACUUUACAUCACAAAGAUUCAAUUGUGCAAUCAAAAGAUACAUGGAGAACAAGCUGACCCAGUUUACCAGUCCUGGAAGACUCUCACCCGCGGCAAAAUCAUGUUUUACCUGCCCUGGAAGACUCUCACCCCCGGUGUACCUUAGGACGAGCCACAAGGCCCAACAUCAAAGCCCACUUCGCCAUUCCUCUUUAGAGAAGCCCUAAAUGAGACCUGGAAAAACUUAGGACCUAUAAAUACAUUGUUUAGCGGCUCCAAACAGGUGUGUGCUCCUGUAAUGAGAUUUUGAGCCACCAAAAUCUGUUUCUCUAGGGUUAGGCGAUGGAGAUGGGGAUUCUUCCCCAGAUCCAUUGUUCUUUCUCCUUUCAAUUCUACUAACUUUUCUGUUUCACUCUUUUGCAUUUUUCUAUGUCUUUUAUUAUUCCUUGCAUCAUGUAGAUCUGUCCCAGAGAGUCAAGUUGUUUUAAGAGUCAUCGAUGAUCAUAUAUAUCGAUUAGGAUUUCUAUAGUUCUAAACCAUAUUCUGGAUCUCAUCUCUUCUAAGUUGUUCAUAUUGCAUGAGAGUAGAUUCAUGACCUAUUUUCUGAGCCUAGGAUCGAUCAGAGCCAUGAGAGUGUUGUAUCAGAUCAUCCAUACCUAGCUUCAGAAGAACAUAGUCGCUAUAGGAGUCGAAAGCUACCCAUAGAGAAGAUGUGAGCAGACGAAUUCAAUGUCUAAUGCAUGAUCUUAUUUCUGUCAUGAGAGCGAGAGUUAAUUGUCAUAUCUAAGUGAUUAGUUGAUUAAGAUGACGAGAAUUAGUUAAUCAUACAUAUGUCUAUUGUAGUUCCAUGCAGAUUCCUAGAAACAGAUGAAGAUAAAUCGCCCGGAAGCUAAUUGUAAAUGCCACCAUACAUCGAUUAUAGUAAAUCGGAGAAGUCUAAAUUGCACCCUAUGAGUUUAAGAGUAUUUAGUUUGAGUCGAUAUGCUUGAGAUAUGCUUGAGAUAUUCUUUUAACAAUUCAUCAUGCAUUGCAUUUUAUCUCUUGUGAAUAUUAGAUUAGGUUUAGUUUAGGACUUUUAACUAAAAACCCCAAAACGUUUAUUGGUUUAUGAUUUUGCUUACUUCCCAGUUUGUUGUUUCUUGCAGAUUAGACAUUCUCCCUAUGGAUCGACACCCUAAGUUCUACAAUCUGUGCACUUUCAGAUUUUAGGGUUUUAUAAAUUUAAAACUUUCUUUAUGGACCAAUGAGCUUGUAUGAAAAACAACCCUAGGCCCGUAGCUCAUCAAAGUUUUUGGCGGCGUUGCCAGGGAGGUUCUUAGUCGCUGGAGGUCUAAACCUAGGAGGUUGAAGCCACAAAAGACAAUAUAUAUGUCGAGUUUCUGCCAAAAAAUCAUAGGAAGUAAACCAAACUCAUAAACACCCUAACUUUUUUUUUUUCUGCUUAUUCUCUCUUCUGUUUGCCCUAGUUUCAGAAAUCUUUGAAGCAUGGAUCAUCCAAGAAGAAAUCCUAACCCUGAUCGAAGGUUUUGCAACUUGUGUGAAGCUCCCUACGCAUGUGAAUCACCUUCCAGGCGUGAUUCCAAUCAUCCAGUUCGGCCAGAUCAUCCGAACCACCACCAUGGAAACUCGCGACCUCUACACCAUCGAGAUGAGCCCUUCACCUGGUGAAUCGUCGACCAUCUCAUCCUCUUUCUCAUCAGAUUAUGCACCAGAACUAUGAGGAUAAUCUGUUUAAAAUCCUGCUAAAUCGAUUGGAAGCCAAGCUGAAUCAGUUCCUUGCCUCCCAAGCCAUCAUCGAUGCUGCCCUGCGAACAAGGAUAGAUGACAUGACCGUCGACCUUAACAAAAGGUUUGAUGACCUCUCUGAGCAUGUGAAGAUACUGGAGAUCAGAUAAUCAAAGAUAAUGACGUGUCGAACCAGAGAAUGGAGUCUGUCGAAGAAGAGCAGGACAAAAACAAGUUCAACAUUCGACAAAAUGAAAGGGAGCUGCAAACCCUAACUUUCAAGAUCGAUGACUUGGAUAAGGAACUGAAUGAGAGCAAAAACCAGACCUACGACUACACAUUGGAGCUGUGGCAGGGCGUAGCUAAGGUUGAAAACAAGACAGAAGAGCUUGAUGCUACUCUAGACAAAGUUGUCUAUGCUGUAGAUGAAGUAGAAGAGAAAGUUGAAAAACUUUCUAAAGAUCAUAAGGAGUAUGAUCUGAACUCUAGAAUCAAUGAUUUGGAUACCCAAGACGUGCCUAACAACCACUGGAAGCAAGAGAACAAUAAUGGAGAAGAAGAGAUUUAAGAAGAAAGCAUAGAGAGCCGGAGGAAGCUGACCGCGGCUGCGAGUACUUCACCCGCGGCCAGAGCCACUUCCACCGCGACUCCAAGCUCCUCACCCGCGGUAGAGCAUGAUUUCUCAGAUUAGGAGAACUUCCAACCUCUUUCUGAAACCUGUUCAACUGCAGACCAACCCCUUGUGACCAGAUCUAGGUUGUUUGAUCAAGUUGUCUUCUCAAUCACUGCACAAGCAUCAAAAGAAAAGGAAGAAUCCAACACUUAUGAAUCUUGCAACAUAGUUUACACUUGUGACAAUGAGCUUCAAGAGCAAUUCUCAGAAGAUGAAGAGUAUGGUUUGUUUGUUGAAGAUCCAAACUAUGGGGACAAUUCAUCUAAUGACAACUCAGAACCAAUUACCAAGAGCAUAUCCAGAGAGAGACUGAUUGAAUUCAACAAUUUUGUGAAGUCCAUUCCUCUCUACCAUGGUUUCGACGACAUCUGGAAGCAAGGCUGCCUUCAAGUUUUUUUUUCAGAUAUAGCAAGAAGACUAAGGAGAACGUCUACACUUAUUUCAGAAGAGCCAGGUAUCUAUCUUUUCCUAGAUCAUCACCUGAUGCAGCUGUUUACAUGAUCCAUCUCAAAGAUCCCCACGAAGCCAUUGACUACACAAACAAGAUCAACAAAGAAGCACUUGAAGAGUCAAUCAAGUAGUUCAAAGCCUCCUAGAAGGAAUUUCAUUUGCCAAAGCAUGUAGAGACUACAUGAUCGGCCACUUCUUCUAUGACAGCAAAGAUUCUAUUCAAGAGAUGAAAGACUUGUUCACACACGCCCAAGAAGGUAGACCAUUUCGAAAUCUGCACAAAGUUCAAGACAAAGGUCAAUUUCUUAUAUCUUGUGAUAUUAGAGGUGAAAGAUUUCUCAAUAUUCUUUGUGAUUCUGGAGCUUGCAUUAACAUGAUGUCCAAAGCAACUGCUUUGAGACUUGGCAUUAAGCACAUUUCAAAUACCAUGACAAAGAUUAGCUUAGCAGAUGGUUCAAGUGCAACACCAAGAGGGAUAUCCCGAGAUAUUCCUCUAAGGAUUGGAGAUUGCAUUGCACCUGUCGAUCUAUACAUAGUGAAGACCAAAGAUGACUCUUAUCCACUUAUCCUUGGAUGGUCUUUCUUAGCAACUGCUGGAGCCAUCAUGGAUUGGCCCAACAGGAGAUUUUAUUUUGCAAAUAUCGACAAGGAUAUCUUCUAUCAAGCUACACCACUUAAGAGCAAAGGAGAAAAGCAGAAAGCCUAGGCCUUUGAACCAGAAGAAAUCUGGAGUGAUGAAGAACCUGCAAGACAGAAGAGAAGGAUUUCGAAAAGGACUUGUCUUAGGACAAGAUCCUAUUUGAGCUAAGUCUUUUUCUUUUGCAAGUGUAGCUAAGGACUAUAAACCAAAGCGCUUGAUGGGAGGCAACCCAUUUAGCUACUUAUUUGCUUCUGUUUAUCUUUCUUUUUCUAUUAAAGUUUUGGUUUUUUUAUUUUAGACAGGCCUUAGUAUGCCACAAAAAAAGGAAGAAAAAGAAGAAAGAGAGCUGACCGCAGCCAAAGGAGGUUCAACCGCAGCCAGCAAGCAUUUUGCCGUGGCCACGAAGCUUUGAACCGCGGCCAGCACCACUCGGCCACCCUUGGCCAUUUCCACCUCUACCUUGAUUCAAAUCCAUCCAAGUUGGAUCAAGCACCACUUCACAUCAUCCACCAUCCACCAUUCAAUAUCCUACCACCUCCACAACCACCUCAUAAUCCAUCACCACACCAGGUAAGUUUUCUUUUCCUUAAUCUUUUUAAAUUUUUUCACAUACUCUAUUUCUCAUCCUUGCCUGAUUUAUUUCAUACUGGGGACAGUGUGAUUUAAGUAUGGGGGAGGAUUUCAUCCCUUUCUAACCACUUUUUCUUGCAUGAGCCUUUGCAUUCUGCAUUUUUCUUUAAAAUUUUUCAAUUUUUUUUUCGAUUUUUCACAAAACUUUUCAAAAUUCUUUUGAGUUUCAAAAAGUGUUUUCAAAGGUCAAAUACAUUUUAAGGGAAUAAUGACAAAAUCGAUGAUGAUAACCAACCUGUUUGCUUCUACACCAAUGAUUCAUAAAAAGCUCUUUCAAGGUUUAGUAUUAGACUUGGCGGUAGCUGGAGUACUUACACUACGAAAUCCUACCAGAAGACUUCUAUUCAUGAAGAUAUUUUCUAACAGGAUAUUCUAGCUCAUCUUACUUGGACUUAAUCUUGACAUCUAAUUUUCUCAUCAAUGGUUUUAAGAAGGCAUCAUGAUAUACAUCUAGGACAUCUUUAUCUUAUUGUUACCACUCUUUGUUGUCCUAGAUGGCCAGUUCAUCUUUAGCUGGUACCUCACCUUUAACCCAAACCUUUAUGUUCUAACCUCAUGCAUUCUCUCUUAAGUAUAUAUUGACAGAUAUGUGCAAAAACGCCGUAGAGGGAGGAACAACAUAGUUUUCAGUCAUUCAUGAGAAAAACUGAAAAAGACCAGAAGGGAGUGUGCCAGAAAUCUUAUGAUUCCUCAGAAAAGCUCAUUCUUAUAAGUAAAUUUCAUGCUUUUUAAGAUUAAGUCAAAAGGCAGUUUCCCCUUUCCCAAAAAAAAAACAAAAAAAAAAAGAAGGAAAGGAAAGAAAACCAAAAGCCUAAAGAGUCUUAGAAGCCGAAAUCAUUUGAGCCAAGGCAAUAGGUAUCCACCUAAGGAGUUAUGGAUUCACAACCUAGACAAAAAAUCCAAGUCUGGGGGAACUAUAAGGAGAACCUGAAGAAAGGAGAUCAGAAAUCUUAAAGCAAAGAGAAUGUGACUGAAACAGUGGGGGCAUUUACAGUUCCAUCCUCUCUUGCUGUUUUGCAUAAUGUCUUGUCUCUCCAGAAAAAGGUAACCCUAAACACAUCAAACCUUACCAUUAAAAAGCCUUUUUGAUACCUAACCUUGAAUGCCUUGUUUGAUAUCCUUUUGAUGAGAAUCACUGAAACCUUUAAUAAAUGUUAAGAGCUAGGUGACUGGAAGUUAGUUCUAAGUGUGUGGAUUUUUGCAUGACGGAUUAACAGACUAGUUAUGUUUGUAUUUUGGUGAGAAUUUUCUAGACUUGAUCUGAUUGACGCAUUGUCCAUAAUUAAGGUCUAGAAGUAUGGUUGCUGAUAUUUUUGAGUUCCCUCUCACUUUUGUUGAAUGAUAUUUUUCCAGAUUUGAUCUUGUUUUGUUUGAGGACAAACAAAGUCUUAAGUCAAGGGGGGGGGGGGUUGAUACCACACCUGAUUUUGACCCAUUUUCACCAUUGAUUUCAAUGCUUUUUCAAAGAUUUUAAUCAUUUUUAGUAAUUUUUAUUAUGAUUUCCAUGUAUCUGUAGUUUAAAGGUUCUUUUCAGGAAACUUACGGAAAAUGAUGGAAAAAUGGAAGAAAUCUACUUUUUUAAGCUCAGAGUCAGACCGUCAGAAGUUCAGCCUCAAAUGAAGACUUUUUCAACGUCUGAUCUAGUUCAAAUUUGGAGACAAUCAAGAGGAGACAACCAGAUUUCCAUAGCACUUUACAUCACAAAGAUUCAAUUGUGCAAUCAAAAGAUACAUGGAGAACAAGCUGACCCAGUUUACCGGUCCUGGAAGACUCUCACCCGCGGCAAAAUCAUGUUUUACCUGCCCUGGAAGACUCUCACCCCCGGUGUACCUUAGGACGAGCCACAAGGCCCAACAUCAAAGCCCACUUCGCCAUUCCUCUUCAGAGAAGCCCUAAAUGAGAUCUGGAAGACCUUAGGACCUAUAAAUACAUUGUUUAGCAGCCCCAAACAAGUGUGUGCUCCUGUAAUGAGAUUUUGAGCCACCAAGCUAUGUGUUAGGCGAUGGAGAUGGGGAUUCUUCCCCAGAUCCAUUGUUCUUUCUCCUUUCUAUUCUACUAACUUUUCUGUUUCAUUCUUUUGCUUUUUUCUAUGUCUUUUAUUAUUCCUUGCAUCAUGUAGAUCUGUCCCAGAUAGUCAAGUUGUUUUAAGAGUCAUCGAUGAGCAUAUAUAUCGAUUAGGAUUUCUAUAGUUCUAAACCAUAUUCUGUAUCUCAUCUCUUCUAAGUUGUUCAUAUUUCAUGAGAGUAGAUUCAUGACCUAUUUUCUGAGCUUAGGAUCGAUCAGAGCCACGAGAGUGUUGUAUCAGAUCAUCCAUACCUAGCUUCAGAAGAACAUAGUCGCUAUAGGAGUCGAAAGCUACCUAUAUAGAAGAUGAGAGCAGACGAAUUCAAUGUCUAAUGCAUGAUCUUAUUUCUGUCAUGAGAGCGAGAGUUAAUUGUCAGAUCUAAGUGAUUAGUUGAUUAAGAUGGCGAGAAUUGGUUAAUCAUACAUAUGUCUAUUCUAGUUUCAUGCAGAUUCCCAGAAAAAGAUGAAGAUAAAUCGCCCGGAAGCUAAUUGGAAAUGCCACCAUACAUCGAUUAGAGUAAACCGGAGAAGUCUAAAUCGCACCCUAUGAGUUUAAGAGUCUUUAGUUUGAGUCGAUAUGCUUGAGAUAUUCUUUUAACAAUUCAUCCUGCAUUGCAUUUUAUCUCUUGUGAAUAUUAAAUUAGGUUUAGUUUAGGACUUUUAACCAAAAACCCCAACACGUUUAUUGGUUUAUGACUUUGCUUACGUUCCAGUUUGUUGUUUCUUGCAGAUUAGACAUCCUCUCUGUGGAUCGACACCCUAAGUUCUACAAUGUACAUCUGUGCACUUUCAGAUUUUAGGGUUUUAUACAUUUAAAUCUUCCUUUAUGGACCAAUGGGCUUGGAUGAAAAACAACCCUAGGCCUGUAGCUCAUCAACGUUCCAAAAUGCACUUUACCGUGCCGGAUGUACCAGACGUCCCUUGUAUCAGAUGUACCUGAUGCACGCUUGCCAGAUGUACCAGAAUUCCCUUCUAUCAGAUGUACUAAACGCACCAAUAUUAUGCCAGAUGUACCAGAUGCACUCUUACUGUGCUAGAUCUACUUGGUGUUAAGUAGAACAGGUGUCUCUACAGACCAGACGUCCCUUUGGACCAGAUGUUCCGUCGGACCAGACUCCACUGCGGACUAGAUGUUAUUUCAGACCAUACGCCUCUUCGGAUCGGACAUUGUUUCGGAAUAGACGUCCUUUCAGACCAGACGCCUUUUACCAGGCUCAUAUACUCCUCCAGAGCCAGAUGCCUUUCACUGGGCUCAGAUGCUCCUUCGAGCCAAACAACCCUCACCGGGUUCAGACGUUCCUUCAAGCCAAACGUCCCUUCGGACCUGUAGUGUAUGAUCCACCAUAUCUUCGAAGCCAUAUAUCUCUGUGGAUCCAACCUCAUUCCUUGUAAGCUGAUCAUGACAUGUACUACGGUGAAUAUUCUCAGAUGGUGUCAGUUCUGACAGAUCAAUUUCUGUCUGUAGCUCUUGAAUCUCUUCGUGUAGCUCAGAAUCAGUCUCGUCACGAUAUAUAUACAAAUCCACCUGCAUCUGUAACUCCACCUGCUUGUCAAAGCUACUGUUCUCUGUAGCAGCUGUGGUUAAAGGUUCAUCUUGGAACCUUCUUUCUGAAUCAACAUUAGAGAACAUGCACUUCGUUCUCCGCAGCAGCAUCUGAUUCAUCUGCUCAGAUACACCAUUCGGUUGUGAUGUAUCCGUAACUGCAUGAUGUUGGACAACUCCUUCAUCCUUGCAUAGCUGAUUGAGCUCUAAUGAACAGAAUUUCUCACCUUCCUCUGACAGAAUUUGCACCUUCUUUUCACCUAUACGACCAAAGCUCUUAUGCCACAGCUUUGUUAUAUCUUUGUGGUGAAUUUCUGAAGAUGCAACAUUCACAGAACCUGUAGCUGUGGAACCUCCACCCAUACCCUUGUGCCCUCCUCUGCUGCAGGUGAAAUCACCUUCAUCAUCCUCAUUUUCAUUCAAUGGAGCCGCAAAUCUCUAUGACAGAUAACAUCUUCAACUUUCUUUUUCAAUUUUAUCGAAAAAUGUGAGAUUAGACGCAUAUAGAAUGGGAACCAUCUCUAUAAAAACAAUAGAUUUUUUUUAUGAAGAGAUAUCUGAUGUCCAAUAUAAUUUGUUGUUAUAAUUUGUAUCUAGUUUUUUUGUUAUCAAAAUGAAUGUUCAGAUGAGAAUAUUGUAAAUUAAUUCUUAUCAUGAUAUUUUGAAUAGCAUAUGAUUUUGAUUAAUAUUAAUUAAAAUCAUUAAAUUGAAACUAUAUAAUAUUGAUAAGAACUUUAAAAUUAAUUAUCUAAUGAUACAUAAUUUUAGUUAAAUUUUAAAAUCACUUAAAAUGCAUAAACUAACAGUACCCAACUCAAUAUAUCUUGGUGAAAAGGUUCUUAUGUAAAAGUCUAAUUAUAUAAAAAUUAUAGUAAGGAAAAAGAAUGUGCGUUCUUUCAAAAAAAAAAAAAAAAAAAAAAAAGAAGAAUGUGCAGUGAGCAAUCAUAUAUUCCCUUUAAAUAGUCUCAGUACUGUCAUUUUGAGUUUACCCUCUGUCUCCCCUAUUUUUUAUAUUUACAGUUUUUUAAUAUUAGGUUUUUACUAAAAUAAAAAUUUCACAUCGUGAUUUAUCAGAUGGAUCCUAUCCAUUUCUCAAUUUAAUAAAUAAUAUUUCUUAAAACUUUUCUUGUCUUACUAUAUUCUCAGCAUUUUGUAACACUAAAUAUUUAAAAUGCAAUAUUUAUAUCUUUUUGGACUUUACAUUGAUAUAUAUAAACUUUCGAAUAUUAUUAUGUUAGAUACACAAUUUCUAACCAGAGAGGAAUUUACAUAGUAAAUAAAAUGAUAUUUAUCAUAUUUUUGUAAUUCUAUUAGAAUUAUCUACAUUUUUAUAUGUGUAAAGCUCAUAUAAUUGGUUUUGCAUUCUUAAUGAAAGUUUGUUAAUAGAACUAAUAUAAUUAUAUCAUGGAAGAAAAACUAAUAGAAUUUAUUUUUAAAAAAUGAUAUCAAUCUAUCAAUUUUAUUGGGCACUAAAACAUUUAGGGUCCUGCCAUUGACCAAUACUGUCUACCUCCCAUAUAUCUACCAUUAAGCCAAUACAAUUAUUUAAACACUUUUGUAGAGAAUUUUUUUCUACAUUUGAUAUUUAUAGAAAGACCUAAAAAGAAAUAAAAUCUAUACUUUAUCAAUAAUAUAAUUCUGAAAGGUCGUUUUGAGAUAUAUGUGAUAUAAUAUUAUAAUAUUUAAUUUAUAUAUGAUAUCUAAACUUUACCAAAUACUAAAGUUUUAUAUUUUGAUUAGUCUACAUUGAGAUUACAUAUUGUUUCAUUAAAAUAUUUUAUUUUUAUUUUAUGCUAAAUUUAUAAUCAAUAUUAGAGCAUUUAUUACUUGGUCAUAGGUUUUACUAGAGUUGAAUUUCAUAAAAUAUUAAAUUUGGUCAAAUUAAAAACAUUUGACUCAUUUAGAAUAUGUAAAGAGUAGCGAGCCAAAAGAAGUUGAACUUCUCAAAUAUAAAUUAAAUUUUCAAGCGCAAAGCUCAUGGUACAAUCAAGAAUCUGAAUAACUUUUGAAUGGCCACAUUAUUGUAUAUGAAUUACAUACAUGUAUAUGUAUGAUAGAAUAUAUAUAUAUAUAUAUGUUUUCUUGGUAGUGAAUGAGAGGAGGAAAAAAAAUAAGAGGAGAAACAAUGAGAAAAAGAAAAGUUCAUAAAAACAAAAAUCACAAAAUCAUAAAGUUUUUUCAUUCUUAUUGUUCUGCUCUUAUAUUUUUUUCCUGUCUCUCAUUCACCACCAAAAAAACACAUAUAUAUAUAUAUAUAUUUAUGUAUUUUUGUGUAGCAUUUGACCAUGCCAAUCCGAAAUGCUAAACAAAAAUAUAAUUUAUUUUUCCAGAUUACAGGCCAAGAGAUAGUAUGGAGAUAUAUAGAAGGCGAUGGUAUGAGGGUUACAAAAAUAUUCAGACUAUUAACUCAGAUUAAAAAUUCUGUGAGAAGAAAAUUCAGAUAUGAUUCCAGAAUUAUUUGUUGAGAAUCAAUCCAAAGUUCCACAUCGGAAGUUUAGACUAAUAUGGUCUAAUAUAUAAGUAAUGUCCAACUCUAAUUAGUAUGAGGUCUUUUGGGAAGGAGCCCAAAAUCAAAUCCGUGUGGGCUUUGUCAGUUGGGCCCAAAGCAAACAAUAUCAUACUAAUUGAAAAAGUUGGACAUGCGUUUUUCAAGCCCAAUAUUAUUCAGGUGAAAAUUUUCAUCACUAUUUUCAGAAUGAUAGGCUAAAGUGUAAGAGACAUUUUAUUAUUAUUGUAUCUCAAAAAACGUGGAAAUGUUACAUAAGCCUUUAACAGUCUUUUUAAAAAAAAAGCUAUAUUCAAGAUAUUUAGUUUUUUUUUUAAAUAAUAUAUAUAUAUAUAUAUAUAUAUAUACACAUAUAUAUGAUAUUUAAACUCUAUAAAUAAGAGUUUGAUAUUUCUAGUCCAGAUAAAGUAACGUUAUAAUGCUGCCCAAAAAAUAAUACUACAAAUAAUUAUUUUCUAUUAAAUUUACAUUAUAGCAUUUUUUUUUAUAACAUCUAUUUUAUUAGAUAGUAAAAAAGUAAUACAUCAUGUUUACAAGCCAUUUUGGCAAAGAUUGAAAAACAUAAUACAUAGCAUGAAAACAACAAUACAUAAAAUUAAAAACACAAAGCACUAAAUCAAAGAAGAUGAGUUUAAACGAUUUUUUUCUUCGAAUUUUUCUCGCUGAAAAAGUGUCCACACCUUCUUUCCUCGUAAUCGCAUUUGAUCUAAAGCGAUUUUUUUUUUUGCUAUGAUCCAUCUUUUCUCCUGUUGUAUGUUAUUGACACAUUUCCAAGUAAGAACUAAAAAUAUUCUAUGAAUAAGAAUCCAAUCUUUUGAUUCUUUCCAUAGAAAAAAUACUUGAAAUUGCCAAUUUUCUACGACUGUACGUAUGUCGCCAUACCACAAGGAGUUUUCAUCUUCCGCUCCAAACCCUUGUCCCCUCCAUGGUGGUUUCCAUGUUUGUUGUUCCCAUAGUAAUGCCAUAUCCGGCUGAAUAGAAUCAUCGAAGAAGAUCAAACAUAAAACCCAAAUUCGCCAAUCAUCGUUUCCAUGACUCCUAACUUCUCCUAUUCCCGGAUCAAAAACCCAAAUUACAUCUCCAAACCAUACAGUGGAGGAUAAUAAAAACUGCUGUGAGUGUUGAUUUAAUCUUGGAUCAAUUUGAGUAAAUUGGUUCAAGAAAGAAUUAAAAUCCCAACCAAAGACUUGACGAAUUAUAGCAUUUAUUAUUUGGUCAUAGGUGUUACUAUAGAUGAAUUUAAUGGAAAUGUUAUUUUUGGUCAAAUCAAAAUUAUUUAAUAUUUAUAAUAUGUAAAAAUUUGAUCCAAAAGAAGUUAAAACAUAAAUAGAAUCUCAAACCACAUGAUACAAACAAGAAUCUGAAAAAAAGUUUGGAAUCUCCAAUAUGAUAUACAUUUGCAUUAUUAAAAAAAAAUGGCACUCAUUGUUCUUCUCUCAAUGCUUUUUUUUGUUUCCUUCUCUCAUUCACCACCACGAAAACACACACACAUAUAUAUAUAUAUAUAUAUAUAAAUAUAUAUAUAUGUCAUGCAUUAUCAUUUAUCAUCUCAUCGAUCUAACUCAUGCACUCAGGAUCAUCAUCAAAAUGAUCUUCUCCCUCCAUAGCCUCUCUUGGAUUUCCGGCUUCCAUAUUCUGUUUUCCGCAGGGCUCCAUCACAUUAUGUUUCUGACUUGUCGACACUAGAUUCAUAGAAAGUGAUUGAUCAUGGUUGGUGUCAGGGGUUGAGUCCAUCAGGGUAUUAAAGGCAGAGUCAUGUCCAAUACACCUCGUCGAAAAAAGAAUAUCUUCCUUAGAAGAGCCAAAAUUUCGAACCAACAGUCAAUAUCCAUCUCAUUGACGUCAAUGUCAAAAUAAAUCAGCUCUUCGAUCGGAACAUCAUUAUCUUCCACAUAAGGAACCAAAGCCAUAUCUUCCAUAUUAGUUUCAAGGGAUUGGGUUUUAUUGGUUUCAAAAGAAGCAUGUCUUCAAGAAGAAGAAAACUUUCUUCAGAAAACAACCAAUCUAUCUGGUCUGUAUUGGUUUCGAAAAUGGUGGUCGUAUUGGUUUGAGAAGAGGUUUCAUAACUUGUUUGACCAGAAGCAAAACCGACAUGGGAAAUGACAUUUUGAGAAAGAACAUGAUUUUCUCCAGAAGAAACCAUACCCAUCUGGUUACUGAUUUCAGAGGGAAUCAUAUUUUCAGAAGCAACAUAGCCUUCUACUGAAGAAAUAUUGGUUUCAGGAACAUUUAUGUUCAUAUCAGUUUGAGGAAGAACAUAAUUUUCUAGGGUAGGAAUCCAAUCCAUCUGGUUCAUAUUGGUUUCAGAUGACUAAUGUUUUCUGUUGAUGGAACACAACCUAUUUGGUUUAUAUUGGUUUCAUGAUCGCGAAUAUUAUCGGUUGAUGGACUCCAACUUAUCUGGUCCAUAUUGGUUUCUAAAGUGUUCAUGGUAAAGUCUAGAUCUGGAAGAAAAUAACUUUCUCCCAUAAUGCACAGAUCAGCUUGAGGAACAUAAGGCUCUGGUAUAUAAAUAAAGUCUAGAUCUAGUUGGUUCCAAUCGAUUUCAAGAACAGAUGAGCUAGGUUGAAAUGGGUUAGGUUCAGACUGAGGAAUACAAAUCCCGGAAGACUCCAUCUGGAAUGCAUCUGUGUUAGAUGCACCAACACUUGAUGACAAACCAUAAAGAACAGGAGGGUUAUCACUACUUAAGCCACUAUGGUUAGAUGCACCAACACUUGAUGACAAACCAGAAAGGACAGGAGGAUUAUCACUUAAGCCACUAUGGUUAGAUUCUCCAACACUUGAUAGCAAACCAGAAAGGACAGGAGGAUUAUCACUACUUAAGAUAAUAUGGUUAACAUCAUGGAUAGAAAAAAUAUGGGAAGGUGGGUUGUUACUUGUGGCUGAAGGAGCGUAAUUGACUUCCAUAGGUGACUUGUUUAAUAGGUUACCAAAAAGUGAGUGUUUACUCAGAUCCAAUUUUCCACCUAGAUGAAACUUGGGCACCAUCUUCGCUUUGCCCUUUUCAGCAGAUUUUUUGAAUGAAUCUGCAUACAAGAAAAACAAAAAACAUUAUUGACACAAAGAUGUUGAAUUGUGAAAAGUAUAUAUAUAGUAAAAGAACAUGACUUGCAUUGGUCGAUGGAUCAGGAGGAUGCUUCCUUCUUUUUCAGAGAAUACCACUUUGUGUUACUUUCAACGAUAUUCUUUGCUAAGUUGGAUGCAUUGAAAGGAUAUUCAUAGUCUGAAGGGUAGUUGAAUGUCUUAUCUGUUGACCUCCAUUCAUUCCUCGACAACGAAUGGUUCAUUAGCUUAACUUGUGCUUUGUAUUUCUGAAACAAUUAAUUAUAGAAUAAAACAGGUUAUCAUAAGGCUAGUAAAAUUAUAUAUUGAAAAAGAGUGUAUAUAAAUGUAUAUAUGAACCUGAAGGUGGCUACCGACUUGGCAAAGAUUCAAGUCUGAGUCAUUCAUAAUGCUCAAUAUGGAUUUAGGACAAGAAUCUGUAGGAUAAAGAACUGUAAUCAAUUGGUAGAAAGAAGAAUUGGUCAAAACAAAAAAAAUCUUACCUUUUGCACCCAAUAUGGAUAUAGCUGUUAAAAAUAUCAUUUGGCGCUCCUGGAGUCAAUACAUUGCAUCGUCUUCCAAUAUUACUCUCCAUAUUUAUUCCUUCCUCUCUCUUGUUCUCAGCCUCAGUGGGAUAAACCGGUUUAGUUUUUCCUUCAUCAAUUGCUUUGCCUUUUCUCUUUUGGUAUGUUUCAGGGGUUGUAAAUGUUUUGACGAAGGGUCGUCUUCCUAACAAAGAUGACUGACUUGUUCUCUGCCUCUUUAUGGUUUCUCUAAGAGAUUCAAUCUGAUUUAGUAUAUUUUUCUCCACAACUUUCUCUUGUUGUUCAGCGAUGUUGAUUUUCUUUAACUCUUGGCUCUUCUUAGGUACCACAUGCUGCCAUAGGUUUUCGAUGUCGUUUUCAGAAAUCGGCUUCGUUAGACAAAAACGUGCACUUUUUGUCAAAAGAUCUGAUGUUUCCUUGGUAUUUAUUUCUGGACUUAUCACUUUAACAUCAAAAAAAUAGAUAAAUUAAUCUGUGGAAGAAAGUAACAAACAGUGUAAAGAGUAAGCGCAAGAAGAAUGUGUAAAUGUUUGCUUACGUAUAAGAGGAAUUUUUUUGUGAAGCAAAGCAGUGAGAAAGGAAUGUGAAUCUAUAUGAGGCAUUUCAAUGUUGGCUAUCACAAGUCCAGUAUCCUUUUGCUUUUCGAUCAUCGAUAAAGCCUCACUUGCCUUGUUCAAGCUCAUCACUAGUACAUCAAUUUAUAUAUUAAAUAUUUACAAAAUCCAAAAAAAAACAUUGUUCAAAACAAUAAUCAAGUUUCUUCCAUUUUAGUUUUAGUUAUAUAAAAAAGUUGAAAAAACAAUAGAUUAACACGCACAUUUUCGAUUAUAUAUGAUGAUUAGCUAACCUAAUACAUAAUAUAUUAUUUAUAUACAUAUUAAUAUUUGAAAGAAAUUUUUUGGGCUAGAACCAGACAUCUAACAAUCUGAUUAUCCGAUUAAAAUAUAGAAUAUAUGUAUUAAAACUCAACAAUUAUACAUCUAGGGUAUUCAAUAAAAAAUUAAUAAAAAAUUAGAGUUCAAAUAUUUUAUUAAAUUCUUUCUUAUCGAUUUUUAUUUAUUUACAAAAAAAUAUUUUAAAAGAGAAAUUUAUAUGCGUAUUAUCAAUUAUAUUUGAUGAUCGACUAAUCUAAUACAUAAUACAUUAUAUAUAUAUAUAUAAAUAUUUGAAAACUUUUUCCAGCUAAUACCAAACAUUCGAAAUCAUGUUAAGAAAUCAUUUCUAAAUAACAUCAGUUAUCAAAAUCUCAUAUAUAUUCCACAAAAUAUAGAUUAUACUAAAAUUUAAUGGUUUUUACAAAAUAGUAUCCAAUAUCUAUGACAUAUUAUUAUCCAAACUAAUAAUCGUAGGUGAUUAGGAUUUUCAACAAAAGGGUUGUAAGAAAAUCAUCUUCAAAACUGAGAUCCAAGACCAAUCAGUAGCCUAUAGCUUUAAUAUUCUGUAAAUUAAAUUAUAAAUUAUAAUUUUCUAUGCGAAUUCACAUUUCUUCAAAUUUGUUCAGAGAUCCUGAUUUAUACAAUGUAGAAAUCUCAAGAUCUAGAGACGUUGAAUUAUAAUCAUCAGGAAAAUAUUCAGCAAAUGCUAAAAUUUACCAUACCAAAUGUAACAAAUUAGAAUAAUACCGUUGAUAUGUAAAUGGAAAAAUGAUCAACAUCAAUAUAAAUGGUAAACAAUUUUUUUUUACCUUUAUACGAAAAUUGCUUAAGCAUUGAAGUGAGAAAUUCAAUUGAUGUAGUGUCAUUAUCGAUUAGCAGAACUGAAAUAUCACCAAUGCGUUCAGGAACUAUGUUUCCAGCCAAAUUUACGGUCAACUUUUCAGUCAUAUUUUCAAAAAUAUAUGAUAUGAAGGUUUGAAAUAAUAACCGAGUUAAGGGGAAAUAAGCUAUUGCAUGGACGUAUAUAAAAGAAAGAAUAGAAAUUGUAGACCCAACAAGGUCAUAAAUUGCAAACAACACCAGAUGAAGAAAACUAUUUUAAUUUCUAUCAAAUAUAUUUCAUUUCAUCAUUGACCCUACCUAUAAUAUAUUUUUUUAACUCUAAAAAUAUACCCAGUCUAAAGUAUAAUCUAUUAGUUUAUAUAAUUCAAAAUCUUAUCAAACACAUGGUAAAUGAUAUUAUAGCAUUGGUAGUGAUAAAUAUAAUUAUUUUGGGAAUAUUAUAGUGUUUCUUGACCGAUAUAAUUUGAGAAUUUACACGAUAGUCAUCGACUUAAAAAUCCAUAUAUAGUUAGUUGUUAUUUCAUUUAUAAAUUUUGACUAGAAAUAUACAAUUAGUUCAUUUUUUAUACAAUGUUUUAGAAAAUGAUUAAUUAAUUAACAAAAAGUAAACAUAGAAAAUUUUUGUAUAUGCAUAAAAGAUUUUUCAUAGAAAAAUUUGGUGGAAUUAUGUUUUCUCUUUUUUCUUAUAAUUAGAUAAUAUUUUUAUUUCAGUCAGGAAAAAAUGUAGCUACAGAUGUGUUUUAGAUUUAUGGAAGCGUAAAAUAUUCUUAAUAUGUAAAGUAAUAUAAGUUCUCUAUAUAUUACACAAAAUAUAAUUCAAAUUUUGUUAAUAGUUUUGAUAUCAAAAGUUAUUCAUGCAUGCGUUUUACAAUUCGAUCCUUACCUUAUUUCGAGUACAAUAGGCAUGUGACUGGUCAAGUUUUUAAACUCUUAAGUAACUUCCAUAAUUACGUAGAAACUCAAAAAAAUUCAAGAAUAGAAUAAGGUUCAUCUUUUUAUAAAUGUUUAAUUUGAAACGUAUGCUAACACUUUAAAAUAAAGUAUUGAUAAUUAUAUGUUGUGAUGUUGUGUAAUGUAUAACUAAUGCUCGUUUAGUAGUGAACUCGUGAUCAAUGAUGGACUCCAGCUACAAGUUUGUUUUCCUUCCGAUCUGUUCACUACACUACAAGAAAGAAGACCUUUUAUAUUGGAAGAUAUCGACGUAAAAUCGACGUAAUGGGCCAUUUACGUCAAAUUAGUGACGAAUGAAAAAUUAUCGUAAAACAAUCAUCGUAAAAGAGAAAUCGUCGUAAAAUCUUCGUAAAUUACCAACACAAUAAAAUCGUCAGAAACAAUUCGUCGCAAAAACGACGUAAACGUUCCAACGAAAGUACGACGAAUUAAUUUUAACACAACAACGACGUAAAAUCGAUGUAAAAUUACAUCGGAUUUACAACAAUUUCGAGACGAUCUAUUUCGCAAAAGUCAAAUAAAUUUAUUAUAGAUCGACGUAAAAUCGUCGUAAUAUAUCGACGUAAAGUCGACAAAAAGUAUAUGGACGUUUUAAAAUAUUUGCCUUUAAUUAGACGUAAAUUUACGACGAGUUUACGUCGAAUUAGAAAAAUAAUUAUUAAAAUUGGAUUUUAAUUUAAUUAUUGAAUUUUUAAAAUAAUCAAAUAAAGGAAAAUUUAAAUUUAAAUUCGAAAAUAAUUCAUAAAUUAAAAUACAAAAUUAAAUACAAUUUAAAAAAAAUAAAAACUAAUCUACACAGUAAAUUCAUAAUCGUCGAGGUUGAGAUCGACGUCUCGAGGAGGCUCUCCGUCAUGUCCGUCCGUCGCUGUUGUACCAUCGUUUCCCGUCUGCACUACGGGAUCCGAAGUCUGACCCUGCGUCUGCUGGUCAGAAGGUCCACCCGCAAUAAUCCUGUGUGCUCGCCGUUGCCUCUCUCGAAAGUGGAUCGUGAAUAUUUCUAAUCCGUUUUUGAAGUCUUCAGUCAAUGACCCAUCAACAUUUUUGGGCGUAUACAUCCACUUUCGUAGAUCGUAUAUAGACAUUUAAAAACAAAUAAAUGACUUUUUGUUUUUGAAUUUUGAUAUAAAUUUCAACUACUAAAAAUUUUACUCAAACAUUCAAAGACUCAAAAAAUUGUGUCUUUAUAUGUUUUUUUGGUUGAUGGAAUAAUGAGAGAAGAAAUGGUAUAUAUAGAUUUUUUGUUUGGUUACCAACAUAUUGCCAUUGAAUAUUAACAUCAAAUUUACGUCGAAAUAAAAUUUACAUUAUAUUUACAUCGAUAUUACGUCAACUACAAGAUGGAGGCCAAUUCAUCGUAUUAUCGAUGUAAAAUUUACGACAAUGUUACGACGAAAUGUAAUUCGUUCUUUAUUCGUCAUAAUGUUGUCGUAAGUUUAUGACGAUUUUACGAGAAUACUAUUUUAUAUCGAAACGACGAAAUAUUUUGACGUCGUACGUAAUUUCGUCGUAAAUUUACUACGACCAUAAAUCGACGUAAAAAAUUCGUUGGAAAUGUCCCUCUUUCUUGUACUAUACAAGGAUUCAUAAAUAAUGAAGCUGUUUUGUUCGGUGAGUGCAUUAAUGUGAGUUAUACAAAAUUUACAUUGGUUACAAAAUUAGGAGACCAUCUCCAUCGGUUUGUUAGGUAAUUUAGAUAAUAAUAAAAAUUAAGAAAUGAUUAAAAAGUUAACAAUUCGGGUUGUUAGGUUGUUGUGGAAGAACCCAGGAAUAUAUAAAAACGUGGCACCAUGUCAUUGGUGGAAGAUUUUUUAUGUGUGUGGGCUAAAAAUCAGGAAUAAGCCCACAUAAAAAUUCUUAAUUUUUUUAAUUAAAAAUUCAUAAUUAAAAAAAUUUUAAGAAACCCAAUCCCAGGUUUAGGGAUGGAGAUGUUUUGCGUGAGUACAUUUUCUCUUUCUUAUAUAAAGUGGAUCCACCAUAACUCCUAAACUAAAUGAGACACACGAUGAGGCCGCAUACAGUGUGGAGAAGGUACACAAAUUCCGCAUUAUCGUUAUAAAAGCUAUGCGAAGUCUUUAAAAAUUAUCUACCGUUCUAAUAACUAACUAAAGUAAUCACGAGAAAUAGUAGUUGGAUAACAAGAUUUUUUUUGUCUUUCUGCUAAGGGCGAAAAAAGUAAUGUAACCUGAGCUCUUUUGCAUCUCUUCUCCGGCGAUGCCGACAGCGUCGGUCUCAUCCUCUUCUCCUCAUGGGGUAGAAAAAACAACCCAAAAAAUCUCCACCAUCCAAACCCUUGUGCCCUCCUCUGCCGCAGGUGAAAUAACCUUCACCAUCUUUGUUUUCACUCAAUGAAGCCGCAAAUCCCUUUGCUCACUCAGUGGCGGGGGAUCCUUCGUCUCUAGCACAGCAAAUCCUUACUGAUUCUGAUUCUCUAGCCUCGACUGACAGCAACUCUCGCUCAGAUCCAAUUGUGAUAGUUCCUGCAACAGUCCAAGCCCCCAAAUAUCAUUUAUGUAAAAGUUGUUGAGACAACAGAUCCAGAACUGAAGAACUCAUCAGUAGAGGCACCAAUUGUCCCGACAAUCCCUGCCUCUGAAUCUGUUUCCGUGAAAUAGUCUUUGGCUGCAGUUCCGGAAAUCCUAAAAAGUUCAAAACCCACUGUGAGUGAUUUGUGGUCAGGAUUAUUCAAAGGUGCUACGAAGCAACUGCAGAAGAAAGGCACAACUUUUACCUUCCCAUCCGAUGAAGCUUAUGUGAAGAUUCUCAAAUAUGUAAUCGAAAAGAACAAAAAAUCCUGGGAAAGUUUCAUCUGUGGGCAAUUAUACACAGAUACGCCCUCCCAGAAAACUGUUCAUAACAUCGUGAAUGGAAUUUGGAGUAAGCAUUUCUGUGAUAUUACAGUAUCAAAGAUAGAGGGCAAUACCUACCUUUUUCAGGAUACCAAAUCCUUCCACUCGACAAUGGGUUUUAACUCAGAGAUUAUGGCAGAUAGAAGGUAAAACGAUGUUUGUCACGAAUUAGGAGUCUGGCUUUGUUCCAUUGAAGCCCGAGCUCUCGUUGUCCCCUAUUUUGCUGAACUAAGAAAUGUUCCUCUACAGUUCUUCAAUGAAGACGGCUUUGAACACAUUGCGGGAUUUGUUGGAGAGCCAAAAUGUCUCCAGCCUAUAACUGCAAACAAGACAAAUCUGUAAGUAACGAAGGUAUUCACGAUAACUGAUCCUCGUAAACCUCUUUCAGAAGUUGUCAAUAUCCAAUUUGAUUCUGGAGAGAUCAAUAGAGUUUUAGUGUCCAGUCUGUGGAUGCCACCACUGUUUUAGUUCUGUAAGAGGUGAAUCAUCAUCUGAGGCAGUGCAAUGAAGCUCCAAUCUUUUGCAAGAAGUGCAACUCAAAAAUUCACGUGGAAGAGAAUUAUGCAAGAACCGUCCUACCUGAACAAAAUAAUCCAAACUCCCAUAGAAACAGAGCCAAGGGAUUAGCUGGAAAUACUUAGAAGUGGGUUAAAGUUGCUGAGAAAUCAUCUGCCAAAUCUGUCAAGUUUACUGAGUCUUCACUGGGGAAAGAAAACAAAUCUUCAAAGGGAGAGUUCAGUGGCGCUGUGGUCUGGUACAUCUUCAAGGGAAGAUCGACGAAAAUGUUAAAGGUCCUCCUAUCCCUGACACAAAAAAAUCAUCAGGAGUGGAAUCAGAUUCUUCGGACGUUGCUUUUGUGGACUUCAGCAAUGUUGUAAACCUGCAGGGUGAGCAGAGUGAGUUCGCAGAGGUAGUUUCAAAAAAGAAGAAGAAGGAUAAGAGGGACAAGAGCCCCAACAAAAGCAGCUUAAUAAAUGGUUGAAGAAAAACAAACCGUUUUAUGAGAGUAUUAUAGAAACCCAUGUGAAACAGCCUAAAUGUAGGAAUUUCAUUAAUAGAUCGCUUCCCGGCUGGUCUUUUGAACAGAAUUAUGAUUUCUCCAUUUAACAAGUGUAAAGGCUGUUGUGGUGGCUAAGUCUUUGCAGAUGAUCACCUACAAAGUUAUGUUUCCUGAUGUGCAGCAGUGGGUUAUUUUGUCAGUGAUGUAUGUUUCUACAGUUGAGACUCUGAAAAAGGAUCUUUGGGCAGAGCUGAUUGUUUUGUCUUCAAGCCAGACUGUUGAAGAAAAAGAAUGGAUGGUCAUUGAGGAAUUUAAUCAAGUUCUCCAUCUACAUGAGCAUUCAAGAGCUAUUACUCUUAAUGUGGAUAGGAGGACAAGAGAAUUCAGGCAGUGUUUGUUGUCGGCUGAGGUGUCAGAUUUGAACUACUGAGGAAACACAUUUACUUGGUGGAAUAAAUGUAGUGCCAGGCCAACUGUGAAGAAGUUGGACCACAUUCUUGUAAAUGAGGUUUGAUCUACUUUUUUCCCCUCUUCAUAUGCAAUAUGUGGAGAGCAUGGUUUUUCAGACUAUGCUUCUUGUGUUGUCGUCUUGGAGUUGGGUUCUCAAAGGCAGAGGAGACCUUUUAAAUUCUACAAAUUUUGCCUCCAGAACCAAGACUUUUACCCUCUGGUUUGUGAACAUUGGUUCUCAUGUAACAUGGUGGAAUCAGCAAUGUUAUGUCUCUCAAGGAAGCUUAAGCUUCUGAAAAAUGUCAUAUGUAGAUUCAGUAGAGAUAAUUUCUAGGAUUCAGAGAAAAGAGUUAUUGAAGCUCAUGAGAAGCUUUUGCUUUGCCAGUCUUAGACUCUAACUGAUCUGUCUCGAACAAAUGCAAAACUGGCGUUUGAAGCACAAAGAAAGUGGCAGAUCCUGGCAAGUGCUGAAGAGUCCCUUUUCUGCCAGAGAUCAAGUGUAACCUGACUUAAAGAAGGUGAUUGUAACACUUCUUAUUAUCACAGAAUGACUGCAUCUAGGAAAGCCAUAAAUCACAUUCACUUCCUUAUUGCACCAGAUGGAGAACAUUUUGAAUAUCAAACAGGAGUUUAAGAGCAUUGUGUUGAUUAUUUCUCACACUUUAUGGGUUGUGAGGUUGGUCCCCAGAUGCUGAUCUAGUCGGAUAUGGAGCUCCUCCUUCCAUUUUGAUGCUCUCAGGCCCAAAAAGAGAGUAUGAUAAAGAGCUUCUCGAAGGAGGAAAUCAAACACCUGCUUUUCUCAUUGCCAAAAAACAAAACCAGUGGACCUAAUGGGUAUUCCGCUGAGUUUUUCACCUGUUACUGGAGUAUUGUAGGGCUGAGGUAUGUGAGGCAGUUGAAGAAUUCUUCCGAUUUGGAAAGCUGCUUCAGCAAUGGAACACUACAACUUUGAUCCUCAUUCUCAAUAUCACAAACGCCUCUUCAACAUCUGAUUUCAGGCCAAUAUCCUGUCUCAACACUAUUUACAAAGUCAUAUUCAAGUUAUUGGCAACCAGAUUUCAGAAGAUCCUGUCUCAGGUAAUAUAUCCCUCUUAAUAGGUUUUCAUGCCAGGUAGGCUGCUUGCAGAAAACGUUCUACUGGCUACGAAAAUUAUGCAUGGCUAUAACUGGAGGAACAUCGAUUCCAGAGCAAUGCUUAAGGUGGAUCUUAGAAAGGCAUUUGAUUCAGUAAGAUGGGACUUUGUCCUCUUGACCUUAAAAGCGUUGGAGUUAUCAGAAAUAUUUGUUAAAUGUAUCAGUCAGUGCAUCACAACUCCCUCGUUUACAAUUUCAGUUAAUGAUAUCACCAGAUGCUACUUCAAAAGCGCAAAAGGAUUAAGGCAAAAAGACCCUCUCUCUCCUUACCAUUUUUCCUUGCAACGGAGGCCUUCUCAGGAUUUUCCACUCUAGAUUUGAGGCUGGGUAUAUCCAUUACCAUCCCAAGACGGCAGAACGGAACAUAUCUCACCUGAUAUUUGCAGAGGACGUGAUGAUUUUUUUUAUGGUGGGAGUUCAUCGUUACACAGCAUAACUGAAGGAUUAGAAAACUUUGCGUCUUGGUCAGGAUUGCACAUGAACAGAGACAAGACUCAACUAUUUCAGGCAUGAGUAAACCACAUUGAAUCCACUGCAAUGGCAAGCUAUGAAUUCACUGUAGGUUCACUAUCAAUCCAAUACUUGGGUCUUCCCCUUAUGCAUCGUAAACUGAGACUCUCUAAGUAUGACCUCCUUUUGGAGAAGCUUGCUAAUAUAUUCAGAUCUUGGGCUGUUACAACCCUCUCAUUCCCAGGGAGAGCUCAGCUGAUUGCUUCAGUGAUAUUAGGAACCGUCAACUUCUAGAUUUCCACGUUUAUGCUCCCCAAAGGUUGUAUUAAAAAUUGAAUCUCUGUGUGCUAGGUUAUUGUGGUCUGGUAGUAUUGUGACAAGAUGAGGAGUAAAAGUAGCAUGGUUUACUGUGUGUUUGCCUAACUCUGAAGGAGGUCUGGGCCUGAGAAAAUUUUCUGUGUGGAACAAGACGCUAUGUCUGCGGUUCAUUUGGUUACUAUGCUCUGAAAGUGGAUAUCUCUAGGCUGAAUGGCAUAUCAGAGCUUCUGGUUGGUGGAGGCAUAUUCAGCUGAUUCAUGGACGUGGAAAUCUCUAUUGGAUCUUAGACCAUUGGCUGAAAUGCUCUUAGGAAAUCUGUUGGAAAUGGACGAAAAACAAAUUUUUGGUUGGAUUUUUGGACACCUCUUGGUCCACUAAUUAAACUUCUGGGUAAUGAUGGCCCGAGAAAUAUCAGGCUCCGUCUUUCUGCUAUAGUCGCAGAUACAUGCACAAUGGAGACUUGGAGAAUCCCAUCGCCAAGAUCUGUAGCACAGCUGAGUCUCCAUAUGCACCUAACGACUAUCAACUUACCUUCUUCCUCUCAGAUCGAAGAUGACUGUUUUUGGUUGGAAAAUGGUGUUAAGUGCAGCCAGUAUUCCUCCUCUAAGACUUAGGAUGAUCUAAGGCCACAACAAGGUGAAACAGUGGUCUAAGCUUGUAUGCUUUAAAGAUUGUGUUUCGAGGCAGGCUUUCAAUAUAUGGAUUGCACACUUGAAUAGGCUCCCCACUAGAGCCAGAAUAGCUUUUAGAGGAACAAAUAUAUUCACAGAUUGUUGUCUUUGUUCCAGAGACGAGGAAACGAGAGAUCAUUUGUUGUUCAGUUGUGCUUAUAGCUCGGAAAUCGGAAAUCUGGAGGCUGAUACUUACAAGGUUAGACCAUACCCAGAGUCUGUUCAUCUUGUGGUCGGAGUUGUUAUCAUGGAUAAGUAUGCGUUCUGAUGCUGCCCCUUAUACCUGAAAGGUGGUGGCUCAGGCUAUGGUUUACCACAUUUGGAUGUCAAAGAAACAAUUUGCUGCACAACUAAUAAAGGAUUCCUGCAUCCAGCAUUUUCAAGUCCAUUGAUCGUGUGACUCGAAACACCAUUACUACGAGAAGACAAAGACGUUGCUUUAGCAACUUUAAUGUCUCUUUGGCUUCAAUGAAACAAUAUAAAAUCUAAUUUACUGUGUAUUGUUCUCCUUGUUUUUUAUUUCUUUUUUGCCAAGGAAGUUUUGUAACAGGUUAGCAUCUUUUAUAACCUUCUUUUCAUUUUAAUGAUAUUAACAUUCAUAGCAAAAAAAAAAAAAAAAGAAAUGGUACUUGCAAUGUUUUACACCAUGUUUGUGUUUUAAAAAUAUUUCACACUACAUAUUCAAAGUUAUAAUGCAGGAUACAAUUUGUUUCUAGUCGAAAAGGUCAAAAAUAUCCAAAUUUUUUAUGUGGUGUUUUCAAGAAUUAUGCUUUUAAGAGAAUUUAAGAAAAUCGGACUAUUCUAUCGAGAUACUAUAACUUAUUCAACAGAAUAUCUAAAGCAUUUGUUCUGAAAGCAAGAAUUCUAGAUGCUCUUCUCCCCAUUUGUUUUUGGUCGAAUGCCACAAAAGAUGUUGAGAAUUAGGCACAAGAACCGGGUUCAAUAAGUUGACAAAUACCAAACCGAGGACCGACGUGGAAUCGUGGAGAAAAAGUUACAUUACAAUAAAGAUAAAUAAAGAAAAGGGAAGAUGACGUAAAGCUCAGAUUUGGAGCCUAACGAACUCCACGUCACCGCCUAAGUUCAUCCAUUGAAAUUUGACGGCGUCUUCUACUCUUCUAUCAUAACCCUUCGUUCUUUCAUGUGAACCACGUCACCGCCAUUCUCUUUUUUUUUUCUUUCUUAAUACAUUUCUCAAUAUGCGUCCAAUAUCAUAAAUAUAAUAUAUAUAUAUAUAUACAAUUUAACCUAUUAAGGCAUUGCAACUUGUAGUGAACUUUCAAAGGAACUUGCAUCCACAAAUUUAAACAUUUUUGCAUGUUGUAGAAUUGAACACGAAUAAUAAAGUGUGUAUUGAUGAUACACUUGUGUUACUUAUUUGACAAUUUAUUUGGUUUUCUUAGAAAAACUGAAACUGGCUUAUACAGUAUGUUUGUACACAUUUUUUGUAUUCGAAGAAAUUGGGGCAUCAUACAGUGACAUUGCUAUUAAUGUUUCUUCUAUAUCAAACCAAGUGAUAACAAAAUAUAAAAAGUAAUAAUGUUGACUUGUAAAUAAAGUAAGAAAAUUAAAUUCUGUCAUUUCAGAAGAGGAAGUAUGUCACAUGUAUAAUAGAUCAUCGAUACUUUUCAUGAGAACUUCCACAAGAAAGCCAUUGACUUCUUAUACCUUUCUCAAUUUUCCAGCUUGACCCAUUUUUUUCUUUUGAAGUUAUGAGAACUUUAUGUAUAAAAACAUUUUAGACUAGACCUCAAGAAAAUUCAGAUAUUUUUAUAAUUUGUGAAAAAAAUGUUGAAAUAAAUUGAUUGGAUUAUUUCUAUUACUAACGUUAAUCCAGUAUUAUGGUGGUCUAUAUUAUUAUUAUAGCCACCUAUACGGAAUGUUGAUGUGCCAAACAAUGGAGACACACAUUGUGUACUUGGAUUAAUGAAUAAAAUGACAUGUAUCAGUCUAUGGGACACAUAGUAAACUAGAUUAUUUCAUACCUAAAAUGCUAUAAUAUUUGAUUGAUAAAUGAUAAGAACAAAGAAAAGUUCUUGCAAGUUUGAAAAAAAAAAAGAGAAUAUCUUGACUCGUGCGGAUCUCAAACUUUUCUUUUCUAUCCUCUUCUCAAAUUAUAUUCCAAGUAAAACACGCAAUUACCAUAAGAGUUAAACAAUAUAAAAAGAGUUCUCAACUAAAUCUUCCAAAAGAGGCUUUCUCUUAUGGUUCACAUGUAAGUAUAUACUUUAAUUUACAUAAAAUUUAAUUUAACGAAUCCUAAUGAGCCUAUUUUCUGAACACGUACAAAUCAAUUUAAUGCAUAUCUUCACAUUUACACAAGAAUAAAGAAACUACACAUAUUUUUACUCCAUUGCUUCUGAAUUUAUAUAAUUCUUUCCAUUUAAUAUGAUUGAGUUUUUAUCCCUCUAACAAGGAAAAAUAUUAUAUAUAGAUACAAGGAAAGCCCAUUUCAUUAUCUAUCUUCUCUUUGAUUCAGCGAGCGAAAUAAAAACAAAAGGCCAAAAAUGGGUGCAGACGCAAUCCAAACGAACGGUCACGAUCCCGCCAAGUUAACCGCCGCGAGAGGGAUCCAACGGUUGAGAUGCGCCGUGAAGAACUACGAGUGGGGCAAACUCGGACCGGACUCACUUGUUGCGAGGCUCCACGAGGCGAAUUCAGGGGACCGAGUCGACCCGGUGGUUCCUCACGCCGAGUUGUGGAUGGGUACUCACGAGUCGGCACCGAGUUACGUUGUGAAGGAAGAAGAAUUCGGGUCGGGUCGUAAUGGAUCCGAAUGCAUGGUUACAUUGAAAUCAUGGGUUUUGGAUUAUCCGAAUUUACUCGGGUCUAGAGUCGUGGACAAAUGGGGUUGUGAUCUUCCUUUCCUCUUCAAGGUAUUAUAUUUUAAAAGUUUCCAAUUAAAACAUGUAUAUUCAAAACCUUCUUUCAAAAAAAAAAAAAAACAUGUAUAUUCAGAUUCUGUUUAUGGUAAAUCUUUUUGUUUUUCCAGUUUUGUCUCAUACAUAAUUGUUCAGGAACAAAAGUAUUAUUUAUUUGAUCCUAAGAUUCUCAUUUUGAAUAUUUUUGCUCUGUUUUGAGGAUUUUACUUUUUGACUCUGUUUUCUUAUAAAAUUUCUAAUUAAAAGUCAAAACAUAUAUAUAUAUAUAUAUAUAUAUGUAUUUUUUUGUAAUUUCAGAUUCUGUGAAUUGUCAAUUUCUCCACUUUUUAUAUUUACAUAUAUUAUAUAUACAGCCAAUUUGUCUUGUUAGAUACAUAUAUAUUUUGGCUCUGUUUUGAGGAUGAUACAUUUUAACUCUGUUUUCUCAAUUUAUAAAAAUGCAUUUCUUUUUCUCUGUGUGUUUUAAAUUUAAAACAUAAAGGUUUGAUUCUAAUGAAUAAGAGUUUGAUGUUGAAAUGUGCAAAAAAUAAAAACAGGUUUUGUCAGUGACGAAAGCAUUGUCGAUUCAAGCACAUCCAAACAAAGCCUUAGCAGAGAAAUUGCAUAGAGAAGAUCCUCUUCUUUACAGAGAUGCUAACCAUAAGCCUGAGAUUGCUCUCGCCAUUACUCCUUUUCAAGCUCUUUGUGGUUUCGUAUCUCUUAAUGUACUAGAUUCUUCACUUCUCUGCAAACAUCUAAUUUAGUCGGUUUUUGAUUUAGAUAACUUCGGUUAUUUUGCCUAUCACAUAUGCUAAAUCCAAAAUUGAACCGGUUCUGUACCACUUUUGAUAUCAAAUUCAGGAGCUGAAGGAAGCCAUCGCCAAUGUACCAGAAAUCACAGAGCUUGUCGGAAGUAAAGCAGCAGAUCAAAUCUUCAAAGUCAACGAACACGAUGGAGACGAAACAAGUGUUAAAUCCGUUGUCCGUUUGAUUUUCACGCAAUUGAUGUCUGCAAACAUCAAUGAUACAAAGCAAGUCAUAUCACAGAUGAAGAUUCGUCUGAUCUCAGAAACAAACCACCGUGAGUUAUCGGAGAAGGAGAAGUUAGUAUUGGAACUAGAGAAACAGUAUCCAGGUGACGUGGGCGUGAUCUCAGCAUUCUUCUUUAACCACGUCAAGCUUAAUCCCGGAGAGGCUUUGUAUCUUGACGCCAACGAGCCACACGCUUACAUUUCCGGCGACUGUGUUGAGUGUAUGGCGGCUUCAGACAACGUUGUUAGAGCUGGUCUCACUCCGAAACACCGCGAUGUUCAAACUCUGUGUUCUAUGCUGACCUACAAAUUGGUAACUUUCUUUACACGUUAACGUUUUUUUUGGUUUAGUUGGCUAGCAAAAUUUGGAUUGUACCCUAACCCUAACCAAAACCGAAAAUUUAUUUUUCUUUGUUUGGUUAUUGAUUAAUUGUACCGGAUUUGUUUCAGGGCUACCCGGAGAUUUUGAAAGGAUUUCCUCUGACUCCAUACAUUACGAGAUACCUUCCACCAUUUGAUGAGUUUGAAGUGGACCAUUGUGAUCUUCCUAGAGAGAAAUCCACUGUUUUUCCGGCCAUACCAGGGCCAUCGGUUUAUCUGGUUAUUGAAGGAAAAGGGACAUUGAAAACCGGUUCAUCUCAAUUGUUGGUUAAACGAGGAGAUGUUUUGUUUGUUCCGGCACAUAACGAGAUUCACGUAACCGGAGAAAGUGAUGUGAUGAAGCUUUACAGAGCUGGAGUCAGCAGCAGAUUCUUUCAAACAAUGUAGACUAAGUAAAGAUACAUAUAUAUAUAUUUAAUUUGUUAUCUAAAUGUAACCAUAGGGAUCAAGGCAUUGACGUGAUCAUAGUCAAUAUUGGUCCAUGUUCUUUAAUCCUACAAAUGUCCCAUUACGAAUCAAGGGUUCAAGGGGUUGUUUUUCUAUUAACUUUUGUUGUUUCUUCUACACCUUUAAAAUUGAAUUAUAUAUGUAAAAUGAUUAUAAAACAAUGUUUUUUUUUUUACUUUUUGCUAUUGUAGUGUAGUAACUAGUAAUUAUUCUUCCUUUACCUGUUUAAACUUUAAUUUCUAGAACUACUCUGCAAAAGCACAUUUGUUCAGUUGUAAUAUGUAGAGAUCGAACCACAGAGACGAGAAAUUCGCUCAAUAAACCUAAUAGACUCUAAUUGCGCUAAGAAGAAAUAAUGAAAUUGAGAGCAGCAAUGCAAUAAAAAACGGUUUUAAAUUCGAUGGGAAAGAAUUAGGCUCAGGGUGUUUCACAGAAAAUCAGAGAAUGCAGACAAAUCGAUUAGUCAUGAUUCAGAUUUAAGCGCAAUUCUUGAACUCAAAUCACGAAAUUAUAAUUAACUAACUUUUGUUGCGAAAAUUAUUUAAAUCUAAAUCCCAGAAUCCCAAUUUUCUUUGCAAUCCUAAAGAUAUAAAUUAGCCUUAAGUGCAGGUUCGAUAUGUUCACAAAGUGUCUAAACCAAUUUUUUUUGUGGAUAGCUACUUUGCUCAUCCUAGGUUCUUUCGGAUUAUUCAAUUACAGUUUCGUGUCAAUCAAUUAACCUAAGAUCUAAGUUCUAGGUGAUCAGUCCAAAAUUAGCUUUAAGAAUAAUCUAUGGUGAAUUACUAAUCAGAUUAUGACCCCUAACUAAUUAAUUAUCUAAAAUUCAAAGGGAUCCCUUAUGAGAACCCUAAACCUAACAAACAAACUACUCAAAUAUGGAGAUUGAAUCAAUAAACAUGAAUGAAUAGAUUGCAGAAAGCAGUAAAAAGAUUAAUAAACAGAGGUUCAAAAUCUUCUCUCAAACAAACAGAGUCUCAGACUUGUCUCCCUAAAAGCUCUCUCAAGAUCAAUAGAAAUCAAAAGUCUCAAAGAAAAUCUAGAGUGUAGCCAAAACACGUGGCUGAAAACCCUAUCAAAAGCUAAAACACAUGUUGGACUUCCCUGUAAAUAUUGGAGACUUCUGGGCUCAAGAGAUUCUUUAAAACUUAGACAAAAUCACGUUUUUCCUUAUUCACGACAUUGGUGUCGAGCAACACCAAAACAUAUAAAUCAUCUUUCACGAAUUUGAUCCCUGCUUAGUUCCAAAAUGCUCUAAAAUCUCCAAUUAAACUCCAAAUACAUUUAAGACCUGAAAAGACUCCAAAAAAUUAAAAAAACACUAAAGAGACUCUAUAAAUAAAACCUAUCAUGAUCAAAAACCAUAAAAAAAAACCAUGAUAUAUCAUUCUCCAUGAUAAGCAUUUUUCGAAUGGUCUGAGUCGAACAAAACAAUGUUCUCUAAAGUAUAAGGCCAAUUCUUUUUGCCUCCCUCGUCACUUACCUUUUGUUUGUGGCUUCCAUGGCAUAGACUAGAGAGAUGACCCCGAGAAGACCUAAUCUAGCACGCAUUUGUUUGGAUGUUGCUAAUGUUCCGUUUUAAAGUACAUAUGCAAAGAUCGUGGAAAGUAAAACGAACUCAAUCUUAAGUCUUGAGACAAUGAUUUUUGCCAAUUUUCCGGUAAGCUUUCCCGGUGAAAUCUUUCACUGGAAUGACCUGAUUAUGGAUGCGCUGGAAACUUGAGUACUAUAACGUGAUAUACUUAUAUGUCAAAAUCGAAUUUAAACUGAAUGAGAAAUGAGGAUUCUUAGAGAGUAUAGCUUGAAAGCUUAAAAAUAACAUAAGUUACCAAAUGACAAGUGUGAUUUGUCCCACAUUAGCAAUUCAACGUUACAUUUUGAACGUAGUGUUACGUUCUCCCCUUGAUAAUACUCAAUAGAUCUGCUUCUAGCCUGUCCCAACAAUCUGAUUCGGAUUGAGAAUUGCGGUUUUUGCGAACGUUGUUAAAGAUUUCCAAAAAAAAAAAUAUUUCAUUACGGCUUUUCACAUCAAAUCGGAAAAACUCUGCUUAGUUUUAACUUUUUAGGGAAUUUGAUAAAUAUUUGACAAACUUUGUGAAAAUAACUUUUGGAGUAGCAAAAUUCCGCAAAAAAAAAAAAAAAACUCAGAGUAAACUUACUGACAAAAGAAAAAAGUUUCCUCAAGUUGGUUUAGUCGCAUUCCUUUUGUCAAGCACUUAAUCCACUACAAAGACGUUUUGUUGUAAUUUAACCGAACUGAACAAUCAUUCCAAAUCUUAAUAAGCAGCUAAAGAGAGACAUUGAGAGACCAAGAUAAACCGGUUUACUUGCACCUACUUGCUGUUUGUUAAAGCUUUGGUUACAAAAUGUGAAACGAUUCCAACCGGACAGAAGAGAAGGCACAAUGAAACCGAAUGCCUCGUCUCAAUCUUAUUCUCUAGCCCAUCAUUAAAAACUUGCCUGCAGAGAAACACUCAAAACAUGAGUUAUAAGAAACAUGCUAGGAUCAAUCAGAACCUGAAAAGUGCAAUAUAGUACCUUGCAGCGAAAAGAUCUAUAACAAGAAGAUGAAUCCAAGCAGAAGCAAGAGUCAUUUCACUUGAGAACAUUUUCGCUAUUCCAGACAACUGCAAAUGAAAAAAAAAAAAAGAAAUUUUAGAAACUGGAAUGUACACAUUUUCUUGUUUUCGAUAUUUCCUGAUAAUUGGAGGAAAAAGCUAAAACCUCUGGCAACAUGUAUUUACUGGAAAACAUGUAUUUGAGAGUAUCAGGCGUCCAAGAAAGGUAUAACAAAUACGCGUAUAAUACGCCUAAGACGAUAUACGGUAUGCUACUCUCCAUACACUUUUUGGUCUGCACAAGGAGAAAACAUACACUCAAUUCAAUAUGAACUUUUUUGAUUCUGCACAAGAAGUUGUAAAACUGCUAAACAAAAACUCACAAUUUCAGCUUUUGGAGCUACAACCAUUAGAGUGUAAAAGGGUAAAACAGCGGUUGUUCCAACCGCAAAUACACUGCUUGCAAUCUGAGAAGUAGCUAUCCCUGCACAAGAACAUGUUAUGUCUCUGUCCUACUUUCAAUUUAAACAUUGAAGAGCUAUAGAUUCUAGACAUAUAUCAAGCCUCUUUUUGGUUUAUAAUGUUUCAGUUAAGAGACAUUACAUGAAGCUCGUACACCAGAGGAUUUCUUUUGAACAAGAGAGGACGAGUUCGAUGAAACAUUAGGGAAAAGUGCGAUUUUUGAUCCUCCGAUAAAGCUCCAACGAUUCUGAAGUCGAAUACUUGACGAACCAACGCAUAGUUUAGACUUGACAUUGCUGAGAGAAAGACUUGUUAUCGAGCUCUUAGCUGAAAUGUUGCGAUUCAUCAUCUGAAUCACCAAACAAAAUGAAUCAAUCUGAUGAAAUAUAAAAAACUUCUUUAUUUCUUAAAAUUUAGGAAUCUGAGACCAAAAGCACUUUGAUCUGAACAACAACGAAUCAGGAACAGAGUUAGGUUCUGUAACAGGGACCCAUGAGGAGUAAAUUCAACUUCUUUAAUGUCUGCGUCAAUUCGAUCUGAUUCAAAGGAUAAAACUUUAAGGUUACCCAUAAGGAAUCUGAACUAUUCGAAAUUGUAGAAAGCUCGACAUAAGAAUCUAAUCCGACAAUCUCCAACAACUGUACAUACAUACAUACAUACAUACAUACAUGAUACAUACAUACAUACAUACACACACAUAGAUAUAGACAUAUAUCUGCGUAUACCGAAAAUUGGAGAAGAAUUGAAAAAGGAAGAGAAAAGGUAGAUACCGAGAGAGAUGAAGAAGACAAAGGCUGGGAAAUGCAAGAAGAUAAAGCCAUCUGCGAUUCAAAUCUUCAAUAGUCUUUGCCAGAAUUUGGCCAUUCAUUACCUUCUUCAACGAGCUCUCUCCAUAUAUAUAUGUAAAGUAUCAAUUUUUAGAGAGGAGAGUUGAGAGUUUUCCACUGGUUGAAAAGGGUAAGUGGAGAAGAAGCUAAGAGAAAAAGUGCUCACUCACUCUUUCUUCAUCAGUGUGGACAAUUAUAGUUGCUCAUCCACCCGAAUUUUUUAAAAAAGUUUUGGUCUUUUUUAGUUUUCCUCGUUUACUUCUGUUUCGCAUAAACAAAAAAAAAAGAAAAAACCAUUAUGAGUUUGAGUUAAUUUUAAAGAGAAAAUCAAAUUUAAAGAUUCUUUAUAUUGUAUGUUCAAAAUUGCAAUAUAUUAUGGAAAAAAAGAGAAGAUUUUUUCCUAAUUUUAGAUAAAAACCUUUAAUAAAAAUCAAAAAAUUAUUAAGAUAUUAAUUUAACCUUAUAUUUUAGAUAUUGUUCUUUUUCUGGUCAAUAUAAAAAAUUACAGUUUACCAUUCUUAUAUAAAAAAAAAUUAAUUAGACUCAAAUGGAAUGUUUUUAUUUUUUUAACAAGAAUAUAACUUUCAUAGAACCUAAUACCCAAAAAAAAAACAUUUGACCCGACUAAAUUAAAAUUCAAGGAAAGAUUGGAGCUUUGAUCCUUUACUCGAUAAAAAAAAGGUUCUUCAUUGUAUGAUCAAAUGACUUGUCGGAUUGUAUUUGUAGGUGGCUCAUCGUAGGAUUAAUAGCUUCUCGGAUUUUGUUAUCCUUGUCUUGUGUUUUGCUUUUUCCGUGAAGAUCAAAAUUUUCUUCUAUACAUUCCUGCUAUAUAUUCCAUCAUGUUCUACCGGUUACACUUAUAAGCCUAUAAGGAUAUCUAAUCUACUUUUUUAUUUGAUAAAAACCUAAUAUCUUUGUUAAUGGAUAUUUGUGCUUAAACUGAAUUUAGACACAACACAGGUCUAGUUCAGGACAGAACAAGACAAAAGUGACAGUGCUACUUCUACUCAGCAGUGGUUGUGACUUCCUCUAAAGACAAAAGUUGGUGUUUCCACCAUUAUUUCGGUUUUGCUUUUAUUAUAUAUUUUAUUUUAAUUUAUUUUUCGCUACAUGAGAAUUGCAUUAACGAAGGACAUUAUAUAUGAAAACAAAAAAAAACAAUAAAAAGAUAUACAUACAUGUGUCUGACACUCAUUGUUUGUGAAAUCAGUUGGGAGUAAGAUAGCGCUUGAGUGGGCUAUUUGGUAUGAUAGCUUCUCUCUAUUGAUGGGCCUUAUUGACCCACCCCACUUCAGUUUUGUUUAGUCAUUCACAACAAGAAAAACAUGAAAACAAAAGCAACACUUGUCUUUUCUAUCUCUCAAUCUGUAAGUGGUAUAUGCGCAUUUCGUUGAAUUCGAUUGAGACCAAAACUCUUUUAAAACAUAAUGUAUAGUUCUUAGGAUUAUAUGGGGAAAAUAUAUGAUGUCUCAAAGAUUUUUCAUAACAUAUUAUAUUCCUUAUAAUAAAAGGUCACCUGGGGUUUUUCUAUAAACCGGGGUUUUUUUAUAAACCGCCGGCUUUUCUAUAAACCGCCGGCUUUGUCUCUGGAGAUGUUGUAUCAUCUGCCGGCUUUGUGUAAUCCGUUGGCUUUGCUCUGUAACACUAUGGUGAUCAAUAUAAUAAUAUUCAAUGAAAAAAAAAAAAGGUCACCUAAAUAAUUAAAAAUUUGAAUUUUUACGACUCAUAUUUCUAUCCUAUUCCAAAGCUAGGAAAACAACAUAAAGAGUUACAAAUUCUUACUAUAUAGUACUUCCAACAAUAUCUUUAUGUAAAUUUGUGCCAAGUCAUUUUGAGUGGAAAAUGUAGAAUAUAUGAUCCACAAGAUCCUUGAAUAUACUUGGGUAUAUAGAAAUAAAAAUGAAUAUCCGAGACUCUUAUCUACAAGCCUAUCCUUAAGAAGGCACGUCCACGAAUGUUUCUAUCACAGAUUUUCAGUGGGCCAUCAUCUAUUACUUCAAGAUAUUGUUCUAAAAAUGCAUCUCAACCUCAAGCUUACUAAUCAUGUGACAAAAGUGAUAAUGUGAAUCUAGUUUUUCAAAUAAUUUCUUUAUUCAAUGACGACUAAUCAAAGAGUUGGUAUAUUUUUGUAUUCACAGUUCUUCAACUUUGUAUAUUUUCAUAUCUUGAGCCGCAUUGUAAUUUGUUUUUUCUUAUAUGCAAAAUUCAAAAUCAAAGAUUUAUAGAACAUUACAUAUUUAUUUCAUCAGACAUUUGAGAAUCCGAUAGAAAAUGUCUCGCAAACCGGAAAACAAACGUUAAAUCCGGAAAUUAAAACAAAACUAAGGAAACCAAAAAAAAAAAAGCAGAUGAUAAAAUCAAAGGUGAGGAGGGAGAUAAAGUUUUUUUUUUUUGAUGUUUACACAAAGCAAAGAAGCAGUGAAAUUAAGCAUCGGUGAAGCUUGCUGGCUUGUAGGCGAUGAAACUGAUGCACUGGACUUGACGGGUGUUGUCGAAUCCGAUGAUCCUAAUGAAGGCCUGGGGGUACUCCUUCUUGCACUCUUGCACUUCCUUCAACACUUGAGCUGAGUCAGUGCAUCCGAACAAAGGAAGCUUCCACAUUGUCCAGUACCGUCCAUCGUAGUAUCCGGGAGUGCUUCCGUGCUCACGGUGCACAAAUGCGUUCUACAAAAACACAUUACACAAAACCAUUCAAAAACAUAAAUCAAGAUUCUGCUUAGGACCUCUAAAUAGUUAUUAACUUGAUUGCAAGAUUCAUAUGGUCCAAGAGAUCAAGCUACUCUAUAAAUGAUUUUUAUUACCUCCAACUCGAAUUCAACACAGGGAAUCCACUUGUUGCGGAGAAGGUAGUCAACUUCCUUAGCCAAUUCAACUUCGGUUAGGUCAGGAAGGUAAGAGAGA
rnacentral:lncRNA from 1 species